GGUAGUGAUUGAGGCGGAUGAAGGUAGUUGAUUCUUCAAAGAAAAGAUUGAAUCUGUUUUCCGGCAAACCUAAGCUCAGAGAGAUGAGUCCCAACAUCUUGAAAGCUAGUUUUUCCAUUUCUCUAGCAUAUUCUUCACAUACCUCCCUGUAUAAAUUGGUUCAAUUAGAACCAAAAAACCAAGUAAAUCAUUGAAGUGACUCUGCCUUAGCUGGUGGAAUUUGUACCUUAAUUCAGGAGAGUACUGAGGCCACUGAUUGAUCAACUCUUUGAGCUCCUUGUCGUCAGGAUCAGGCGAAGCAGGGAUGAAGGCGGGGGAUGACACCACGAAAUCAAAGACUUCCUUCCAGUCCCUAACGUUCUUGGUAUGCUCAGUAUCAAAAUACCACAAAGGAUUCACCCCAUCUCUACUCACCUUCCUCUUCUCCUACAAUGGCAGAGCGAAGAACUUCCUCGCCGCAUCCUCAAUUUUCCGGCGAGACUCCGAGGGCAUCCCAUGGUUGAUGACUUGAAAGAAGCCUCGAUUCUUGGAUGCAUCAGCUAUUUGAGAAACAUGGUUAGAGGCAUUGGCGGAAGAGAGAUCAAUGAGUGGGAUGCCUUCAGCUUCGAUAACAACGAGCUUAGGCCCAUGUUGGGUGUCUUGGAUGAAGGCUGGAUCGACCUCUCCCAUGGCUGUGGUAGUGAUUAGAACCUAGAAAUGGUGGUUAUGCACUGGUAGCUGCAGGUUGAGAUUGUGAAGGGGACUUGGGCCACUUGGCAGGUGAUUUUUGUAGUGUAGUGGGGUUGGUUUGGUUCAUUGAACCUUGACAUAAUGACAUAAAUGGGAUACGUUUUAUAAGUUCAAGGAAUCAUGGUAUUUGGAAAAUAUGAAUGAGUUGAAAAUUUUAAAAAAUAGGUUUAUAGGAGUAUAUUUUAAGGAAAAUAAUUUUCAAAUCAUAUCAUGUAUAGGAUAGUGACUUUGUACAUGUUUGAGGGGAAUCAUGUCAAAGUGCACUAUUUGAAAAACAUGGCUAAAUUGUAAACUUAAAAAAGUGGUUUCAUGGAGAGUACAUUAUGAGAAAAAUAAUUUCCAAAUCAUGUACUAAAAUAAUAACUGUAUCCAUGCUUCCAAAACUACUAUUCAACAUAUUUUCAUCAUGUCACAUUUUCCUAUGACGUCAUUGCCCUCAUUUCUUAGAAGAAAAACCCUUUCUGUUCUACUUUACUUUACACUGUUUGUUCCUAUAACCCUUUCCUUUUUUUAAUUUUAAUUUUUUUAAAAAAAUAUUUCUCAUCUAUUUUCUCGAUUUUUAAAAUUCUAUUUAAUUAAAAAAAUUAGAAUUUUUUUUAAAGUACAAUUCAUUUAUUUAUUUUUUCAUUUUAUUUAAAUGUGAUGUAUAAUUAAUACAUUAACAUAAAUUAGUUUUUAAUAUAAAAAUAUAUUCAUCUAUAAUAAUUAAAAAUCUAAUAAAUAAAUAAAUAAAUAAAUAUUAGUAUUUUAAAUAAUAUUGAUUUCGUAUAUACAAUAUUUUAUUUUGUUUCAUUAUUAUAGAUCUCAUUUUCUAUAUUUUUUAUUUCUAAUUUUUCUUAUAGAAUUUUAAACCUAGAUUUUUUAAAAAUGAAAUUUAAAAAAACACUAGAAAUUAAAGUUUUUGUUUUCUUCAAAAUAAAAACAAAAAAAAAAUAAUAUACAAAAAAAAAAUAUUAGUUUACCUUUAAUUUCAUUCAACAAAAAAUUAGUAAUGAUAAUUUUUUAAGAGUAUUUAAUUUUAAAAGUAAUAUUUGAAGAUAGGUAAAAUAAAAAUUUUAAAAGUGUUUGUAUUAAAAUUUUGAAUAUAAAUUCACAACUCCCAUCAUAAUACAUUGAUAUUUAAAAUAAAAAAAACCCCUAAUGAUUUUUUUUUAUUAUAUUAAACAUGUAAAAAAAGUACAUUUUUGUUUAAUUAAAAAUUUAAACCAUUAAAAUUGUUUUUUUCUUUAAUAAAUAAUGUUUUUAAAGAGUACAUUAUACCUAUUUUUUUGGGCAUGUUAUUUAAUAAUUGCUACCAAAGUCAUAACAAUGACAAUAAAAAACUAAAUAUAAUAGUGCAUAUUUGCUAUCUAUAGUGGUACUUUUAGUUACUAACAUUAUUAUUUUUAAGUAAAAAUAAUGUUAUUAUUUCCUGACAUAUUUGAUGUAGAGGUUGAAGUGAUGACAGUGCUAAAUAAGUUAGUACAUCCUAUUAUCUACAGUGAUAUUUUUAGUUACUAUUAUUAUUAUUUUUAGGUAAAGACAAUGUUACUAUCUCUAGUGAUACAUUUGAUGUAUGGAUUGGAGUGGUGAUAGAUGAUGUAACAACUGUGUAUAUGGGGUCAAUCAAGUGUAAUUGUCCUCUUAUUUGUAUAGAUCGCAACCCACCUCCGACAGUGGUUGAAAAGUAGUCUUGGAAGCAUAUCACCAAAGGGACAUUUUGAAUAAUAAUUUGGGAAAAAGCGUUCAUCAGACAUAGCCUAAAAAGUAUAUCCCAACAUUGCUGUUUAUUUAUCAAGCAAAUUACAUUAUUAUUGUCACACCAAACCUCCAAAUUCAACAUGUACUUAGCCUAUAUACUGGAUGGUGAACGGGCUAAAACAAGCUCUUACUGAUUACAGAUAGAUACUGUCCUACUGACACUUUUACUCUGAUACCUUGAAAUGAGAAAUUUGGAGGUUUUCCACAUCAAGCUUCUUGAAAUUGCUGCGCCUUCUCGCAGAAAAGAACUUUCCCCAGUUGUAUGCUCUGUAAUUUUGCUUUUCCCCCUUCGUCAGCUCCUCCAAGGGCUUCACCCAAACAUGCUGCCCGGGAUUGAAAGAGAACGGAAUCGAAAACCUUUCCCUCUCUGAAUUCACAGUCACCCUGUGCUCCACACUUUCAUAAGUAUCAUUGCUCCAGGCCUGGUUUAAUAUCAGUAUAAUUAGCCAAAUGGGUGUAACUGAGCCAAACAGUACUGAUAAGCAUGUACUUAUAAUUCGAAGUUCUUGGGUGGUACCUGAAUUAUAUCCCCAACAUUGAUGAUAUAAGCAUCUGGGGUGGGCUUAACUCGAAUCCAUUCUCCAUCGGUUUUUCGCUUUACUUCCAACCCUCCGACAUCAUCCUGAGCAAGGAUGGUUAAGGCUCCGCCAUCCUUGUGGCGACCAACGCCCAGAGCUAGGUGAGGGAUGGGGCAAGGUGGGUAGUGUUUGAGGCGGAUGAAGUUCGUUGAUUCUUCAAAGAAAAGAUUGAAUCUGUUUUCCGGCAAACCUAAACUCAACGAGAUGAGUCCCAAUAGCUUGAAAGCUAAUUUUUCCAUUUCUCUAGCAUACUCUUCACAUACCUCCCUAUAUAAAUCAGUUCAAUUAGAACAAAAAAGAUAAGUAAUUCACUGUAGUUAUUGUGCCUUAGCUGGUGAAAUUUGUACCUUAAUUCAGGAGGGUACUGAGGCCACUGAUUGGUCAGCUCUUUGAGCUCCUUGUCGUCAGGAUCAGGCGAAACAGGGAUCACGGUGGGGGUUGACACCACGAAAUCAAAGACUUCCUUCCAGUCCCUAACGUUCUUGGUAAGCUCCGAAUCAAAAUACCCCAAAGGAUUCACCUCAUCUCUACUCACCUUCCUCUUCUCCUCCAAUGGCAGAGCGAAGAAUUUCCUCGCCGCACCCUCAAUUUUCCGGCGAGACUCCGAGGGCACCCCAUGGUUGAUGACUUGAAAGAAGCCCCAAUUCUUGGAUGCGUCAGCUAUUUGAGAAACAUGGUUGGAAGCAUUGGCGGAAGAGAGAUCAAUGAGGGGGAUGCCUUCAGCUUCGAUAACAGCGAGCUUAGGCCUAUGUUGGGUGUCUUGGAUGAAGGCUGGAUCGACCUCUCCCAUGGCUGUGGUAGUGGUUGGAAGUUAGAAAUGGGGGUUAAGCACUGGUGGCAGCAGGUGUAGAUGGUGACGGGAAAUUGGGCCACACGGCAGGUGGUUUUUGUAGUGUGGUGGGGUUGGUUUAGUACAUUGAACCUGGGCAUAAUUUGGGUUACUUUUUAAGGUUUGGUUGAGGGUGUGACCUCAUGGAUUGCGCAUAUAUUAAUGAUAAUUGGUCAAGUGAUACUGCAGUCCCAAAGGGAAUCUCUCUCAAUGAUUUUGCCGACAGCUCCCUCCACAUUAAAAUGUUUCAUCCGUAUUUGAAUUGGAGUCUAAUGCUCUGAUCAAAGAUACCUUUCGCUUAGUCGAUCAGUGUUUGAUUACUAAAUAAGAUGGUGUCACAAAUAUUUUUGAAUUCUAGGUCAAAGUUAACGAGUGCAAAGGUUAUCAAUUUGAUAAGAUAAAUUGUUUAGAAACACUUUUAAAAAUGAUUCUUGAAAAAAUAUUUUUUUAAGUUUAAAAACCAUUUUUAAAUUUAGAAUAAAGGUUUAUUUAAAAACUUAUAUUAUUAUAAACUUAUUUUUUAUAUUUUUAAAAAAUAAUUUUUAUAUAUAAUAUUUUAUUUUCAAUCAUUUUUUACAUUUUUUUUAAAAAGGUAAAACUACUAAAAAAAAUACUUAAAAUAAGUUAUCAACAAAUGUCUUAUUGUCAUGACAAUUUUCAAAAACAUGUUUUAGAAACAAUUGAAAAUCAAAGUAUUUUCAUAUUCCUUUAUUCCCAAAAACAAAAAAUUAUUCUUGGUAACGGUUCCAAAUGUAUCCUUCAUUUGUUUAUCUUAUUAUAUAAGUUUUAAAAUAAAAUACAAAAAAUAAUUUUCAAUGAUAAUUUGUUACGGUUUUAUCCAAAAUUUUUAUAUUUUUAAUCAAUUAAUUUAUUGAUACGUAUAUUUCUCAUGAGACCUUUUUCUCACUAAAAACAUUACUUUUUUAUAAGACAUUUUUAAUAAAUUAAUUUUGAUACGUAGAUUAAAAAUGUCUUAUAACAAUAUAAAUUAAUUAAAUCAUUAGUUGGCCAUUUGGUCUCAUGCUUACACAACGACUUCUCUCAUGGCUGCCUAACAUGAAUGAACAACUCUCUACAACAAGUAAGGUACACUUAAUUAAAAAAUUAUUUAAUUUAAAGAUGUUCGAGAAUGAGAAUUUCAAGUAGCACUUGAAUGAAUUUAAUGAGACCACAAAUUAAUUAAAUUCGAUGGUUAUUAAAUUUGAUGAUAAGAUUCAAGCCUUAUUAAUCCUCGGUUAAUUGCUUGAGAGUUGGAAAGACACAAUCACCUCAAUCAAUAGUUCAUCCAAAAAAUCAAAAUUGGUGUUUUCGAAUGUAGUAGACAUGAUUAUAACCGAGGAGAUCAAGAAGCAUGAAGAAGGUUUUUCAAAUUCAUGAUCAACAUUAAAUAUGGAGAGCAAAGCUAGAAAUCAUAAUAAAGGUAAUAGGCGUGAUAAAUCCAAAUCGAGGAAUGAUAGGUUGAAAUACAAAAAUUCCAUAAAUUCCUAACAUCAGACGAGUAAGAACAAUAUCAAAUGUUGGAAUUGUGAUUGGAGCUAAAAUAUGUGCUCAAAUGACAUAUAUUUGAUAUGAUUUAUAUAUCAUAAGACACUCAAAUCAUCUGACUCUACCCAAAUUGAUACUAAGGUCCUAGCCAUGAGUUUAACUUGUAUUUUGGAGAUUUAUCUCAGGUUUAAGAAAAGAAAAUGGUGUAAGGUGAAUCAAUUUAGAUUUUGAAAGAAUAAGAAGGGGUUAAAUGAGAAAAUGAACAAGUCAAGACUCAUGAAAUAUGAAGAAAGGAAAGACGAGGAUAUCGUGAGUUUGGGAGAUGAGGAAUGACCAUUAUCAUGAAGUAAGAAAUAAGGCAUACAAACAUAGAAAAUGAGGCAUGAAACAAAAUUCAUCAAGUUUGCAUGGAAAUUUGGGACUCAAAAUCUGGUAAUAACAUAUACUCUGACUUUAAAAUGAAAUUUGGAGCAUUUCCCAAAGUCCAUUUUAGGCAAGCUAUAUAUUGUUUUGAAGCAUGGGAAGUUAGGAAUUCAAAGCUUCAAACAAUGUCCAAAUUAGAGCUAAAUAAGGAAGUUAUGCACAUUUAAAGCAAACUAGUUAGAGAGAAAAACUGAGUUCGAAAUUGGUCACUUGGAUUUGAAAUGGUUUUUGUCCAUUUAAAACUCAAAGAAAUGAAAGAAAACUUUUGGCAUUGGCUAAGUUUGAAUCUCUUUACCUAUUUCAAACAAGAGGCAUACAUUUCAAAGUCAAAUGAACAUACAUGGGCAGUGAGUGAGUUCAAAAUUCACUAUGAAUUUUGAACUCACCUUGUUGAUUUCAAAUUGGACCAUUUAUUUCCCACUUAUGAGUUCAAAAUUGAUUUGAACUCACCCAAAUUUCGAACUCAACCAUUAGUGACCGAUUUUAGGCUCUGAGACAUGUCAAAACGAGUUUCAAAUGCCUUUAUCCAAUUCAAAACGCAUCAUACUCAUUUAGAACUCGUAAUUUUUGGGGUUUUUUUUAAAGGUUAUUUAUGACUUUUCGUUACAAUAAGUGGCCAAUGAGAGUGUACCACAUGUUAGGUCAUUGAAGUUACUAUAAAAACUCUUUUAGUUAUAGUGUUUAGGUGAUCUUCCAAGAGUUAGACAUUUCGUGGGGAAGAAUACGAGAACUUUUGGUUUAUUUAUUUUCUUCUUUAUUGAAUGUAUUGUUUUUAGUUUCCUUUAUUUCAAAUUAUGAAUUUUUACUUUAUUAUGGAUUGUGAAUGUGACAUUACCCCCAUGAGAGGAUAAAAAGCUAACUUGGGGCUUAAACAUAAAAACUAACGGUUAGAAAACUUAUAGGGACAUUAGGUAAAUUAUUAUAACAAUAAGAUUAAUUAAUGGUUGAGUUACAAUUUAUUAAUUUUUUAUCCUAUCAUUGUGAGUUAGUUUAGAGAAUAAUAUAGUAGGUGAUUAUUCGAUACUAGUGAUUCUUGGUAACUCUUGAUCAUUAGUAAUCCUGAUUUUUCUUAUAGUUAUCUGCCCCAAAACGAAGUUAGAAGGAGUAGGAAAUGUUAAAAAGCCAAACCUUAAAUUGAUAAUAAUUUCAUUCAUUUGAUGUGUUGACAAAUCAGAGGGUUGGCUGCAUCCAUCAACUCUCUUUGUGUUCGCCGUGAGCACUUGGGUGAAUGCACUAUAAGGUUAGAGUAUGCACAUUUCUUAACAGCAAUUGCUUUUAGGAGAAUUGGUAGUGCCUGAGGUCCUACAUGAUAGUUUUAAGAACUUGUUUUAAAAAGAAAAAUUAAGUUUUAGAUGUACUUUUGAGUUAUAGGGCUCAAGUUGAUUGCAAGCGGCCAAGAAUCCCAAAACCCUAAGAUCACUCUAGUUAAGAAACCUUUGUUAUCUCUAUUUCUAUACCUUAAGUUAUAUUGUGGAAAACCUCAAACUUAAAUCAAUUAAAUUAAAAAUCAAUAUUCGUUUUGUUAUUAAUUUAGUUUUUUUUUUUUUUUACUUAGUUUCACUUCAUAAAAGUUAAUUCACAUAUUGUUUUUCGCUUUAGGAUUUAAAUAAAAACAAUUCAUUUAUCCUAGUAUUGAAAAAUUCCAUAUGUUAGUCCCUAAGGAUGAUACCCAAAGAAUUACAAAAACCAUAGUGACUAUUUCUCUAGUUUUUUCUUAACCAAAGUUACUAUGUAAAAAGGCUUAGUAUUUUACAUAAGAGAGAAGAUUGAUCAAAUUGUGGAAAGAAGAGACAUUAUAAAAAUGAGUGUAAGGCUGCCAAGAAGGAUAAGGAUGGUGACAACAAGACCAAUGCAAAUGUUGUGUCAAAAGAAUUAGAUGAUGCUCUUAUCUGCUAUUUAGAGAGAACAACAUAAUCGUGGGUAUUAGAUUCAGGGGCAUCGUUCCAUGCUACCUCAAGUGGAGAAUUAUUUGAGAAUUAUGUCUCAGGUAAUCUAGGGAAGAAGUAUCUAGGUGAUGACCAAGCAUGUGUUGUUAUUGGCAUAAGUGAAGUGCAUAUCAAAUAUUUGAAUGGAUUUGUAUGGAAUUUGGACAAUGUGAGGCACAUUUCAAACCUGAGAGAUAAUUUUAUUUCCAUUGGGUAGUUAACAAAAGAUAGUUAUGUGACAACUUUUUUAGGUGACACAUGGAAUAUCUCAAAGGGAGCUAUUUGCCAUGGCAAGAAGAAUGAUACUCUUUACAUGACAAUGAAUGGUUGUGGGUUUAUUACAAUUGUUGAGAGCAAAGAAGAUUCGAAUUUAUGGCAUUAAAGGCUUGGUCACAUGAGCAAUGAGGGGUUGGAAAUUAUACACUCAAAUGGGAAGUUGUCAAGUUUGAAAUAAGUUGACAUUGACAUGUGUGAAAAUUGCAUACUUGGGAAACAAAGAAGGGUUAGCUUUAAGAAAGUUGGAAAAACUCCAAAAGAAGUAAAACUGAAGUUAGUUUAUACAAAUGUUUGGGGACUUGCUUCAAUUUCAUCUAUCGGUAGAAGAUUUUUUUUUGUGACCUUCAUUGAUGAUCAUUUGAGGAAAGUGUGGGUAUACUUUAUGAUACACAAAUGAGAAGUGUUUGAUGUAUUCAAGAGACGGAAAACAAUGGUGGAGAAUAAGACAUGUAUGAGAGUCAAGAAGUUACGGUUUGAUAAUGGUAGGGAGGAUGAAGAAUUUGAGUUCAAGAAGAUCUAUUAUGAAAAUGGAAUUAAAUUAGAGAAGACCGUGCCAAGGACACCUUACCAGAAUGGUAUAGCAUAAUGAAUGAACAAGACAUUGACUGAAAGAGAAAAAAAACGUGUAUACAAGCAAGGUUGUCAAAGGAGUUCUUGGCAAAAGCAAUCAACAAAACAACUUACUUGAUCACAAAAUACUGGAAAAAGUGUGAACUAAAAAAAAGGUAAAGUUUUCUCAUUUGAGGGUAUUUGGUUGUGUAUCAUAUAUAUAUAUAUAUAUGUGUGUGUGUGUGUGUGUGUGUGUGUGUGUGUGUGUGUGUGUGUGUGUAUACAUAUUAGUGAUCAUGACAUAAACAUACUUGAUGCUAAAUCACUAAAAUGUACUUUCUUAGCUAUGGUGUUGAUAAUUUUGGUUAUUAGUUUUGGGAUGACCAGAGUAAGAAAGUGAUUAGAAGUAAGGAUGUCGAUUAGAAGUAAGGAUGUCAUAUUUAAUGAGAAAGUUUUGUAUAUGUAGAGAGAUGCAACACAUUCCAAUAGUCUGGUACAACUUGAACCUAUUUACUUUGAGCCAAAUGAUGUCCCAUUGAAUAACAUGACAAAUAAGACAGGUCAUAAUCAUUAGAUUGAGGAAAAUACUGCAUAAGAUGUUAAUAUAUCACAAGAUCUAGUUUCAAUUCCUACUUUGAGGAGAUCUAACAAGCCACAUGUACCAAAUAGGAAGUAUUUAAAUUAUUUGCUACUAAUAGAUGGAGGUGAACCUAAAUGUUAUGAUGAGGCAUGUCAGAUGGAAGAUAAUAGAAAGUGGGAGCUUACGAUGAAAAAUGAAAUGAAGUCCCUUAUUCUUAACCAGACUUGGAAGCUAGUCGAGUUACCAAUGGGUAAGAAAGUUUUUCAUAAUAAGUGGGUGUAUUAAAUUAAGUAGGAGCAUGGUGGUUCUAAGAGAUAUAAGGCUAGAUUGGUGGUCAAAGGGUUUCAAUAGAAGAAAAAUGAUUGACUAUACAUACAUUUUCUCUCUAGUUGUGAAACUAACUAUUAUUCAAUAUGUUUUGAGUAUUGUAGCAAUAAAGAGUUUACAUAUAGAACGGUUAGAUGUGAAGAUAGCUUUCCUCUAUGGUGAUUUUGAUGGGGAAAUUAGUAUAUAUGCAACAACUAGAGGGUUUUGUAGUGAAGGGUAAAGAGAAUCUGGUGUGCAAAUUAACUAACAGUCUGUAUGAUUUAAAACAAGCCCCAAGACAAUGGUAUAGAAUAUUUGGUAGUUUCAUGCAAAAGAAUAGGCAUCUCAAGUGCAAUGCAGACCAUUGUUGUUACUUUAAGAGAGUUGGUUCUAUCUAUAUUAUUUUGUUACUUUAUGUUGAUGGCAUGUUAGUAGUUGACGCAAAUCUAGAUGAAAUUAACAAGUUGAAGAAAUAGUUGUCUAGUGAAUUUGAAAUGAAGGACUUGGGAGCAACAAAGUAGGUACUUGGGAUGAAGAUUAGCAAAGACAAAUAAACGAGCAUCUUAUGGUUAUCUUAGGCUAAGUAUAUAUACUCAUAAAGUAUUGCAAAUAUUCGACAUGAGUAAUGUAAGGCAAUUAGAACAUCAUUAGCAAAUCAUUUCAGGUUGUCUAAUUAAGCAUUGCCCAUGGGCAGAUGAGGAAAAAGACUUCAUGGCUAAGGUUUCAUAUGCCUUAGCCAUUGGAAGUUUGAUGUAUGUUAUGAUAUGCACGACACUAGACAUUGCCUAUGCAGUGGAAGUUGUGAGCAAAUUUAUGUCAAAUCUAAGUAAGUAGCAUUAUGAAGUAGUGAAAUGGAUGCUUAGGUACUUACAGGGUACUACAAAAAAAUGUCUAUGUUUCGAAAGGGGUGAGUUAAAAUUGCAAGGAUAUGUGGAUGUUGAUUUUGCCAAUGAGAUAGAUAAUUGGAAAAGUACUACAUGGUAUGUGCUCACUUUGGGUACUAUUGCUAUUAGUUUGAUUUCUCAAUUGUAGAAGAUUGUUAUUUUAUCUACAAUUGAAGUAAAAUAUGUGGCUAUCACAGAAGCUAGAAAAGAAAUGAUUUGGCUAUAGAGUUUGUUAGCAAAGUUAGGAUUCAAAUAAGAUAUGAAUGUUUUGCAUAGUAAUGGCCAAAGUGCAAUACAUUUGGCUAAGUAUUCAACAUUUCAUUCAAGAACUAAUUAUAUUACACUUCAUUAUCACUCCAUCAGGUUUUUGCUUGAAGAUAGGGUGUUAACAUUUGUGAAGAUACAAGGUAGCAAGAAUCCGGUUAACAUGUUAACUAAAAUAGUGAUAAUAGAAAAAUUGGAGUUGUGUGCAACUUCAAUUGGUCAAUAAUGAGAAUAGGUUGUUUGAGUGCACCCUCAUACCCAUUAAUCAUUGAAAGAGAAUGUUUACUUGUGUUUUAGUCUUCAAGUGGAAGAUUGUUGGAUUGUGAAGCUUGAAUCAGUUUUAUUAUGCCCCGAUCAACUUGUAGGGAUUGAAGGGCGCAAUGCUCUAUGGAGAAUUUAUUUAUUUAUUUUUAUGUAAUGAUUGACAGGUUUAAUCUUAUUAUAUAUUUUAACCCUUUUAUGUUUUAAGGUUUUGUUUUUUAAUGUGUAGUUGCAAUUGAGAGGUUUUUUGAGAGCUUUGCUAUUCCACUCCUUCUCAUCCCUUUUAUAGUGAAUUGUUGUAUGUUGGUGUACUCCAUUGAUGUAGGGAUCAAAUUGAUCGUAAAACCAUUUUUUUUUUUUUUUUGUUUCUAUUUAUACAUGAGUGUGUGCGUGAUUUGGUUAACAUCAGUUAUCUUAAUAAUUCUAUUCCUGGAAUAGGAAGAAAAUGAUGAUUCCAUUAAUGUAGCAUGCAUUGCUGCUUAUUUAUCAAGCAAAUUACAUUAUUAUUACACCAAACCUCCAAAUUCACCACGUACGUAUCGUAUAUACCGCAUGAUAAGAUUUAGAGAGGUAAAACAAGCGCUUAUUGUUUACGGAUAGAUAAUGUCCCACCGACCUUUUACUCUGAUACCUUGAAAUGAGAAAUUUGGAGGUUUUCCACACCAAGCUUCUUGAGAUUACCGCGCUUUCUCGUAGCGAAGAACUUUCCCCAGUUGUAUGCUCUAUACUUUGGUUUUUCCCCCUUCGUCAGCUCCUCCAAGGGCUGCACCCAAAGAUGGUGCGCGGGAUUGAAAAAGAACGGAAUCGAGAACCUUUCCCUCUCUGAAUUCAGUAUCACUCUGUGCUCCACACUCUCAUAAGUUUCGUUGCUCCAAACCUGGUUUAAUAUCAGUAUAAUUAGCCAAAUAGGUGCAAAAUUCGGUGAGCGAAAUAACUGAUAAGCAGGUGCUUAUAAUUCAAAGUUCUUGGGUGGUACCUGAAUUAUAUCCCCAACAUUGAUGAUUUAAGCAUCUGGGGUGGGCUUCACUCGAACCCAUUCUCCGUCGGUUUUUCGCUUUACUUCCAACCCUCCGACAUCAUCCUGGGCAAGGAUGGUUAAGGCUCCGGCAUCCUUGUGGUGACCAACGCCCAGAGCUAGGUGAGGGACAGGGCAAGGUGGGUAGUGAUUGAAGCGGACGAAGCUCGUUGAUUCUUCAAAGAAAAGAUUGAAUCUGUUUUCUGGCAAACCUAAGCUCAGAGAGAUGAGUCCCAUCAGCUUGAAAGCUAGUUUUUCCGUUUCUCUCGCAUAUUCUUCACAGACCUCCCUGUAUAAAUCAGUUCAAUUAGAACAAAACAAACUAAGUAAUUUACUGUAGUGACUGUGCCUUAGCUGGUGAAAUUUGUACCUUAAUUCAGGAGGGUACUGAGGCCACCGAUUGGUCAGCUCUAUGAGCUCCUUGUCCUCAGGAUCAUCCGAAGCAGGGCCGAAGGCGGGGGUUCUCACCACGAAAUCAAAGACUUCUUUCCAGUCCCUAACGUUCUUGGUAUGCUCAGUAUCAAAGUACCCAAAAGGAUUCACCUCAUCUCUACUCACCUUCCUCUUCUCCUCCACUGGCAGAGCGAAGAACGUCCUCGCGGCAUCCCAAAUUUUCCGGCGAGACUCCAAGGGCACCCCAUGGUUGAUGACUUGAAAAAAGCCCCAGUUCUUGCAUGCAUCAGCUAUUUGAGAAACAUGAUUGGAAGCAUUGGCGGAAGAGAGAUCAAUGAGGGGGAUGCCUUCAGCUUCGAUAACAGCGAGCUUAGGCCUAUGUUGGGCGUCUUGGAUGAAGGCUGGAUUGACCUCUCCCAUGGCUGUGGUAGUGAUUAGAACUUAGAAAUGGCAAUUAUGCUCUGGUAGCUGCAGGUGAAGAUGGUUACAGGACUUGGGCAACUCGGCAGGUGGUUUUUAUAGCAUAAUAGGGGUGUUGGUUUAAUACCUUGAACCUGGACAUAAUAUGGGUUACGUGUUAAGUUUUAGUUCGGGGUGUGAGCUCAUGGGUUGCGCAUAUGUUAAUGAGAUUUGGUCAAGUGAUACCUAGCUAUUUCCACGGCACCCUCAAUAUUCAAAUAUUUCAUCCGUACUCGAUUUGGAAGGUUGAUUAGUAAAUCUGAUGGUGUAAUGUCUAUUUUUGAAUUCAAUGCUAUAUAUUUAACGGUGAAGAUAAGAAAAAUAGAAGAGUUGAUAACGUUGAAGAAAAAAUGCCAAAGUUUUAAGAAGGUAGAGUUUUGAUGAGAAAUAGGUAAAAUUAAAAUUGCAUUAUAAUAAUAUAAAUUAAUUAAAUCGGUAAUCACCCAUUUAAUCUCAUUCUUAUCCACAAUUGUUGAUAGUUGAUCCUACAAAAUUCUAAAAAAAUCUUCCACAAAGACAAAUCACAAGAUGUUCAAUAACAUAUAUGCUUUUGCACCAAAAAUUGUAUAAGGGAAAAAAAAAUGAUGCACAAAAAAAAAAAAAAAAAAAUUCUAUAUCUAAUAUUAUUUCAUAGGAAAACUAACUAUAAUAAAUUUUAAAAGCAAAGAGCGUUUUACCAUAUCUAAAUAAUAGAUUAUUAAAUUCUUUAUUUUUCAAUUGGAUAUUUUUUUUUAAAUUAGAAACAUCUAUAUAAAAAUAAAAAUCACUUUAAAAAAAUUUUAAAUUUAAGAUAAUAAAUUUUUUAUAAUAUUUUAAUUCUUUUAAAUAAUUUUUAAAAUUAUUAUUUUUUCAAUAUAAAAUUUUAAGAGUUUUUGUAUUUUAUAUAUAAGUUACUAAUAUUCUCUUAUUUUAAACAUAGAAAAUAAAAAAUGUAACCAAAUGAAUUAGAAAAUAAAAAAGUUGAAUAAAAAUAGUCUAACCAUCUUAAACCUAAUAAUGUUUGACAGAAAACACUUAAAUAUACCUUGUAAUUUUCCUCACUGGUCAGCUCCUCCGAAGGCUUCACAUUCACAUGGUGCGCCAGUAAGAAGAAGAAUGGAAUCGAAACCCUUUCCUUCUUGUGUCGACCCACACUGAGAGCGAGCUCCAGCCACGAGCACGAUGGAUGGUGAUUGAGUCGGAUGAAGCAUUAGCCUUCAAAGAAUUCAUUCAACCGAUCCCCCACCAAGCCUAAGCUUAAGGAGAUGAGUUCCAAGAACUUGUAAGCUAAUUUUUCUAUUUCUCUAAUAUAGUUUUUCCAAAUUUUCCUGAAAAUAAAUCAUUAUAUAAAAUAUAUCAAUACUCAAAAUAAAUUUAAUAAAAUCUUGUCUUGCCUUUAUGUCUCUAGUUGAGUCUGUUUGGCUUCAAGCUGUGCAUUUAUGUCUCCGGUUGAGUUUGUUAGGCUUUGAGUCGCACCUUUACACCUCUAGUUGAAUAUGUUCGACUUUGAGCCAUGCCUUUACGUUUUGAGUUGAGUCUAUUCGGCUUUGAGCCACGCCUUUACAUUUUAGUUGAAUCUGUUCGAUUUCAAGCCGUGCAUUUACAUCUAUAAUUGAGUCUAUUCAGCUUCAAAUUGCAUCUUCACAUUUUUUGUUGAAUCUGUUCAGCUUCAAGCCACUCCUUUAUGUCUCUAAUUAAAUUUGUUUGGCUUUAAGUUUCACCUUUAUGCCUUUAAUUGAGUUUGUUCGGCUUUUAGUUGCGCUUUUACGUUUUGAGUUGAGACUAUUUGGCAUCGAGUUGCAACUUUAUGUUUCAAGUUGAAUUUGUUUAGCUUCAAAUCGUGCCUUUACAUCUCUAGUUGAGUUUGUUCGACUUCAAGUCAUGCCUUUAAGUCUCUAGUUGAGUUUUUUUAGCUUUGAGCUGCGCCUCUACAUCUCUAGUUGAAUUUGUUUGGCUUCGUAUCACAUCUUAUGUUUCGAAUUGAGUUUAUUCGACUUCGAGUUGUGCCUUUAUGUUUCUAGUUGAGUCUAUUCAGCUUCAAGCUGCACCUUUACUUUUUGAAUUGAGUUUGUUCGGCUAUGAGCAAUGCUUUUACAUUUCAAGUUAAGUCUGUUUGGCUUUGAGUUAAGCCUUUACGUCUCUAGUUAAGUCUAUUCAACUUCGAGCCGCAUCUUUCAUUUUUGAGUUGAGUGUGUUUGGCUUUGAACCACACCUCUAUGUUUCAAAUUAAGUCUAUUCAUCUUCAAGUCGCACUUUUAUGUCUUUAGUUAAGUUUGUUCAGCUUCGAGCAAUGCCUUUAGGUUUGAAGUUGAGCCUAUUUGACUUCAAGCCACACCUUUACAUCUCUAGUAGAGUUUGUUUGGCUUCAAGCUAUGCCUUUUUGUUUCGAGUUUAGUCUGUUCAGUUUUGAGCCAUGCCCUUACGUUUCAAGUUAAGCCUAUCCGGCUUCAAGUCGCGUCUUUACAUUUUGAGUUAAGACUAUUCGACUUCAAGCUAUGUCUUUACAUCUUUAGUUGAGUUUGUUCAACUUCAAGCUACGCCUUUACGUUUUGAGUUAAGUCUAUUCGGUUUCAAGUUGUGUCUUUAUGUUUUGAGUUGAGUCUGUUUGGCUUUAAGUCACACUUUUACGUUUUGAGUUGAGUCUCUUCAACUUUGAACUACACCUUUAUAUAUCCAGUUGAGUCUGUUCGAAUUUGAGUCACACCUUUGAGUUUUGAGUUUAGUCUGUUCGGCUUUGAGCCACACUUUUACAUCUCUUGUUGAGUCAUAUUUAGCUUCAUUCUACGCCUUUACAUUUCCAAUUGAGUUUAUUUAGCUUUGAGUUGUGCCUAUGUUUUAAAGUUUGUUCAAUUUCGAGCCACAUCUUUAGCCUUAUUAAGUUUGUUCAAGUUUAGUUGUGCCCUCACCCAUAUCCUUAGUUUUAAGUUUAUUCAGCUUCAAGCCAUGCGUUUGUCCUUGUUAAGUAAGUUCGGCUUCGAGCCACGUCUUAGUUUUGAAGUUGUUUAUCCUUGAGCCACACCUUCCUUUCUUUUUUAGUUCACUUAGGGUUUUCUCCUUCCUCGAGUUUAUUAGUGCAUUCGAGUUCAUUUUUCUUUAAGUUGAUCACUCUUUAUCUUUGUUGUCCUUGAAUUGUUCAUUGUGUCACAAUUCAGUGUUUUUCAUUGCAUAUAUACUCCCCACAUUGUCUAUAUUUUAUCCUGAUGAGUUUCUUUCCCAAUACGUGACCUCGAUCUUUGAGUUUAGCAUGCCAUGUGCUAAGACAAUUUCGAGUGCUCUUUUGUUCUUCAAUGCAAUUCACUUCAUACCAUUCAUCACUCAUGUUUCACUGUUUGUGUUCAUUUCAUUCGUGAUCUACAUCGGAGAGAGACAUAUUUGUUGGCCCUUUACUUUGUCCUAUAAUACAUAUUUUCACAUUUUUUUAUUUUCCUCUUGCCCCAUACUCAUUUUUGGUGCUCGUUUUGGAUCCUUCUUGUUUGAUCAUUCAUGGUCCCUUAUUGGUCCACGUUUACUUGACUCAUUAUUCAUUUUUUAGUCGCAUUUUAGAGGCCAUGUAGGAGGAAUUUUGAGUACAUGCAAGCUUAUUUUUUAGAGACCCUUAGUAGUUGGCUCAUAUGAGGACACGCCUCCUCACACUACUACAAAAAUCAUUUAUGGUGUCACUAUUUAUAGUGACACUUUUAAAAUAAUGACACCAUAUAGCUUAAAAUCCACAAAGGUGACACAUCAUAUAAAAAUUUUCAAUUAGGAUCAAUGAUAUUAAUUUUAGGUUUAUAAUGUCAGUUGCCAAAAAAUGACACCAUAUAAAAUAUUUUUUUUCUAAAUAUUAUAACUCAAUUGGCCCACUUUGAGAAUAAUGAUAGUAUAUAAAAAAAUCAUUGUUUCCACAUACCCACAAUCCAAAAAAAUUUCAUUCCAUAACCCUAACCAAAAUUUUUUUCUACCUCUUCUCACACCCAUAGUUAACACACAACUGUUCUUCUCUGCUUUGUGGACUCUCAGGUAACCCAAAAUCUCUUAGAUCUAUCAUUUUCAUUUAUUUUUUUAUUAAUGUCAAAAUCUUUAUGAACACAAUUGAUUUAUGUUUAUUGAUUUAAUAUAUUUGUAAUAUGGAUUGUGUAAAUAGUGUUUUUUUAUUGAGUUGUAGGAAAGUAAAAACUAGGUUUAACAUUCCACCAUAUCUUCUGGUUCAUUGUUAAACCCAUAAACCCCAAAAUGAAUGAAAAUAAGAAAAAUGAAUUAUUUUUAAAUAUCUUUUAUACUCAAGAUAAUAUAUAAACAUUUUACAAUACAAAAUUUUUUUUUGAUCUUGUAGGAAAUUUCCUUUGAUAGGAUUUUCUGUUUGUUUUCAAGGAAUAUUGUAGUAUAUUGUGAUGAAGAUAUUGAUUGGUGUUAUUUGAAAAAUAAUUUUUUAGAAAAUUAUUCUCAAUAUUAUCAUCUCCCACAAAAUGAAAAAUGAAAUAGUUUUCAUAUCAUAUUGGAGUCGGUUUGGAAUGUUGGAAUUAACAAUGAGAAAUUAAUUUUAUUUUUUAUUUAUUAAUGUAAAUGAAUUGUUUUUUUUUUAAAUUUAAAUAGGAAUGAAAAUUUUUAUAAUUAUAAAAAUGAUCAAAUAUUAUAUUUUGAUUUUUUUUUCUAUUCUUUUACAUGGUAUUAUGGUUAAUAUCUCAUCUUGUUCUAUAUAUAUUUUUUAUAUUCUUAAAAUAUGUUUUUUGCUUUUUGUUUUUACUUUCUUUUCUUAUUGUUUUUAUAUGUGUUGACCAAAAUUUAGAGUAAUUUGAGAUUGGCGAUAAAAUUUUCCUUUCAAGGUUAGAAAAUUUCUAUAAAAUCAUUUUAUUACAUAAUUUUUUCAAUUCCUUCCAUAAAACUCUUCCUUUUUCCUUUUUUAAGAAGAUGUUUGAUAAUUUUCUUUUGAUUUCUAUGAAAUUUCCUUUUAUUGGACUGUUUGUUUAUUUUCUAAGAAUAUUAUAGUAUGUUAUGAUGAGGAUAUUGGUUGGUGAUAUUUGAAAAUUAAUUUUUGAGAAAAUUAUUCUCAAUAUUGUCAUCUGCCACAAAAGGAUUUUAAAAGUAUGUUUUAUUUUUGCCUUCUUUUCUUAUUGUUUUUAUAUGCAUUGACCAAACUUUGGAGUAAUUUGAGAUUGAUGAUGAAAUUUUCCUUUCAAGGCUAGGAAAUUUCUAUAAAAUCCUUUUAUUACAAUUUUUUUUUUUUUCCUAUUCCUUCCAUAAAACUCUUCCUUUUCUUCAUUUUUCUUUUUUGAUGUUUGAUAAUUUAUUGAUCUAAAGAAUAUUAAAAGUAAAAAAUUUAAAAUAUUGAAUAUUUUUUCCUUUGAUGUUGUUAUUUUAUUAUUAUUUUUAUUUGAACAUAUUUUUCAUAUCCAAAUUUUCUAUUAAUUAUUUUACUUUUAAAAAAAAUAUCAAUUGAAGUUAUGACUGAAAAAUCAAUAAUUUUUAUGAAAGGUUCUUUAAUUCUUUCUCAUACUAAUUUUUCUCUUAACAUUUCUUAAUAGUGAAUUAGGUUUUUUUGUUUUAUAUACACAAUUUUCAUGCUUGUUAUAAUAUCAUGUCCUAUCAUAUUAGUAGUUGAAAACAUUUUUAUAUUUUGUUACUAAAAUUUUAUUUUAUAUAAUUUACAUGAAUUUUAAUGGACAUUGUUAUUUCACAAAAUGAACAUUAAAAAAAAUAUUGAAAUUAAGAAAAUCCUUCCAAGAAAUAAAAAAAUAUAAAAAGAAUUGGAUGUUAAAAAUGAUUUUUAAAAGCAUUAUGAAUUAUAAAAAAUAAAUUUAAAAGAUUAGUAUUUUCUAAAAUUUUAGAUUUAUAUUUUGAUUUUGUAGUUUUGAUUUAUUUCAUAUUUUCUUGAAUUGUUUUUAUUUGAGUUCAAAUGUGACUACUUUGUUAUGAGAUUCAUUAAAAGGAUAAUUGUUGAUUCUACAGUUAUUGCAUUAAAGGUUUUACUCAUUUAAUGAAUUGUACAUAGUUUCAUACUUCUAAUUAUUGUGAUAUUAAUGUUAUUUUCAUUUGAUUUUAGUUUGAUGACAAAAAACAUAUUCUCAAGUAGACUUUGAUGAAAUAAGAGGAGAAUGGAUUGCUUUUGUGUUAUAACUAAUCAUGAAUCAUGUUGAUGUAUCGUGAUCAUGCAUGGUGAGUCCCUUAGUUGUUAUAUAAAUUUUCCAUUGGUAUUGUAUAACAUUACUUAUUCUUUAUGAACUAUUUUUAUAUCAAAAUAGGAAAAAGAAAAAAGGAAACAUUAGUACUUAGAUUUGUUUAUUUUUUUAUAACAUCACUAUGGACCCCGCAUUUUCGGCUCGAUGCGUUUCCCACUCGAUGGCGAGCUCGAUUUUUAAUUUUGAAAAAUGAUUUUUAUUCAUUAAAAAUGACUUGGAGUCGCCACUUAUUUUUGUUUUAUUUUUAAAGGGUAAACAAAAUAAGAAAAAAAAACCCUAAGUGUGACUCCUUAUUUUAGAAAAGGCGAUCUACGAAAAAACCGGAUUGGGCUCGGGGGUUAGGUUACUUAUCGGGAAGGUACGGUAAAGACCGUAGCACCCCUCUAAGUCCCUAAAAUCGGGUCUUUACUAAUAGAAUGAAGCUGACGUGGCAGUCAACAAGAAAAUCGAUGAAUAGUCAAAUCAAUCAUGCACAAUAUGAGAAGCAAAACAUGUAUAAAGAAUGAGCGAAAUAUGAAUAGAUGCGUACCUGGACGGCAAUCACGAACGCGCUAUCAUGAAACAUGGUUAGUGAACAAUGAACAGAUAUAAUUAAGCGCAUAUCAAGGAAUAGAGUAAAUCAAUCAUGCAUAGCAAAUAAAUAAAUCAAUUAGUUAAUCGAUUAUAAAUCACAUAUGUGGGGCCCCACCAAAGUCCAUUUAUUUUGCAUGAUUUAAUUCCAAUAACUCCAUUACUUGGAAUUACGGAAAUGAAUUCUUGCUUAUUUUAAAACGUUUUAAAACGAAGGAGAUGUGGAAAUUAUUUGCUAGAAGGAAAGAUGACAACAAAAUUUUAUUGGAAAUGAGAUUUUUGAGUGAUCCUAAAAAUUCUAAAGAUGAAAAUUUGAAAAAUAAAUAAAUAAAUAAGAAUAAAAUAAAAUUAUUUGAAAAUCUAGAAAUUGGAAACUAUUUGAAAACGGGAAAUUUGGAAAUUAAUUUAAAAUUGAAGAUAAAGAAAUAAAUAGAUAAAUAAAAAAAUAAAUAAAGGACACGUGACUCAAAAUGUGGUCAUGCAUAGUUGCUUGUAAAUUGGACAGCCAGUUGCUUCUCAUACUCUCAGCGUCAAGAUGUUCCUUGAUGUAGUUGCCCCAUGUGUCAUCCUUAGCCGUGAUAAUGCAUGUGUUUUCAUCCCAAUUAAAGUCACUUUGAUCAAGAAGUGCCUUGAUAGUGACAUAUUGCAUCCUCAAGACAUCAUACCGAUUCCUCAGUUGGUCCUUAUCCAUGGAUUCCCGCGAAAUAAAUCUGUUACCAGAACAUUGUAACCAUUGCAUGCAACGCGAUAUGCGGAGUCCCUUGUGGAUGAAUUUUCGAAGCCAAAGGCAUCAAACAAGAGCAGUAUCCCUGCCAACUGCGUGUUCAUCCAGCCGCUCAAUCACGCCACUAACAUGGGCACAGCGGAAAGCAUCAACACAACCUUAAUUCCUCUCUUGUAGCUGUUUAGCAGAUCCAAGUCUGUACAAGACUUGAUCUAUGGCAACGUCAUGAGGAUAUAGCCGCGGGGUAGCAUAUGAAUCCAAUCAAUGGGAAAUGGGCAUUAGGAAUGGUGGUCAGGCUUUGCAUGAUUUCAUACACGUGAAUGAGUGAUGCUGGGACCUUCAUGGAGGCUUUGAGUGGAUCUUUGGGCGGCGGUGUAGAAAGAGAAAGGUAGCAGGAAGAAAAGAAUGGGUGUGGGCUUGGUGGUAUGAAACGUGUGGUGUUAAAGAGGAAUGUGGCGUACAUGAGGAAAGACAUGGUGAGUGGAAUGAGCUAUGGGCAUGAGAGAAAUAGAGAAAAUGGGUAUGAAGGUUAAUGAGAGAGAACGGGCGUGUGAGGGUGGUAAAGGAAAAUGGAUGAUGGAUGCACAUAGGUGGAAAUGGGAAUGGAUUUGAUAAAGCAUGAAGGUAGGAAUGGGAUUCGGGUGAUAUUAGAUUACCAUGCAUGGAGAAUGUAUACGUGGAGGUCUAUUAUGCAAAGGAACUAAAAACGGGUCAAGUGAAGGGCUGUUUAGGGAAUAUGGCAUCAGUUUCAGGUUGAGGGGAUGGGGCCCUUGGGCCAUUUGGCUACCCACAAGUAUGAUCUACAAAAUAGGGUCCUUAUGUCAGGGUCAACUUUCGGAUUUUUGCAAAGCUGAUGCUACCAAUUUAAACUCUGAUCAAUCAGUGUCCGCGAUCUUGAGUCCUUCAAGCUGAUGCAACGCGUCUUUAGGAAGGUAGAGCCUCCAAUGAAUACUUUAGAUUUCGAUUUUUGAACAAUCAUGGCAGAACCCUUCAUCGAUUGGCAUUAUCAUUACCCUGGGAUUGCAGCAAGAUGCAUGGAAGGCUUCUUCACUAUUAUCACAAAUGAGCAUAUACAAUAUAUUUUCUGAAUGACCACACGAUUUACAUGGUUGGGAUGAGUUGCUAUUCCCACUAACUCCCAGAACUUCAAGAAGCUCCUGACUCCUCAGUAUAGAAAUGCGUGUAAUCAUUACCCUCUUGUUUGGCAUGACCUGUGCAUACCCAAGAAUGACACCUACUAACCAACCAAUUGAUCCUUAUUGCAUUUAGAACUCAUCUGCAUCCCCUAGUCAAUUUCAGUUUCUGACAGUUAAACCAAAAAUCCCCAGUCUCAGCAAUGACAGUAGUCUCACUUGACAACAUUUUCUGUAUAUGCUGGAACAGAACAUAAACCCUCAAAGGCUCCUCGGGAUCAGACGUAGGAGACUGUCCCUCAGGAACGUAAACUCUAUGGUAGAACUCAUAGGCAGUGAUAUUGCAUUCGAGCCUCUUGGAGAAUGACUUGAAGAAAUCUUUCAUCAAAAUGCACCCAAGCUCAAGCCCAUAAGCACACCAAACACCAUUAUUGGGUUCGUUACAUCACCAUGCUACGGAGUUUAUACAACAGGAAGCUCUAACUGAUGAUGGUUCUGGUAGUGAUUUGCCAAUGGGAACUUGGCCAUCAAGUGAACCCGAUAUCAGAAGCUGAAGUUAUUACCUUGUACUCUUCUAUUCCCCCAUUAUCAGCAAUUCCAAUGGAAACAGUAGGAGAGCCUCAAGACUGUGUAUCCAUUCAAUAACUCUGUUUCUCAGUCAGGAUGCAAAAAACUCCCCAAUGAUUCUACAGCUGCAACCACAGGAGCCCCACUACUACCAGUUCCUUCACCCAUUCUGACAGCAACCAAAACCAGACCAAUGACUUGAACUUUAGACUUCCCCAAUCCAUUAAAUCCAGAAACCACUUGGAGUUAGAAACAUUUUCUACCUCAUCCUAGAACUUUCAGGUAUUUUACAAAGUAAUGGUCGGUAUUUUUCAAAAGCAAAAAGAAAAAAAGGUAAGACUCAAGAAACAGAGCAAACUCAGAAUUCGUUAAUCAAGACUCCAUCUCAUGCUGCACUCAAUGGAUCUAAACAGGUGAGACAAGCAGGGAGCAGUGGCAUGAUUAAUCAAUCUCAAAAAUAAUCCAUAUAUCGGUUAUUGACAGGAAAAAACAAAGAAAGCAGAAAAGAACCCAAACAGAGCAAAUACAAAAACAAACUCAAAUUCAGCAAAUCAAUCCACAAUCAAGAAAAACUAACAAUGCUCAAGUAGCCUGAGAAAAAUGAUGAAGAACAGUGAUAAUGAAAAAUACCCUAAAAAAAAGAACACGAUACUUCAUACCUGUGAAACUCCUCUCCGAUGAAGCUCACCUACCAAACCAAUCUGCUCCCAUCCUUGGCACUAGAACCCCUCUCCGUAGCAGCCUAAGCUCAAGGAAAUCCCUCUCCAGACCGAUCUCUUCUUUCUUCUCAAGUUCUUUUCUCCUCCUCUCAAAAUAUCUCUCCCUGAAAAACGGCAGCCAAAACCUCCCUCUGCAGCUGGCCUGCCCCCGUAACAGAAUACCCCCCUCUAGCUUUCUCACUACCCUCAAAAGCACCCUCUCUCUCCUGCAGCUGCAAGCCUCCACUACCCCCAUGCAGCUGGCAGCCUCUACUCCUCUAACGGCCAGCAGAUUCUCCUUCUAGAAAAUUCUUUCCCUUUUCCAGGUGUCUUUCCCUGAUUGGCCCAUCAAUUCCACUAUAGUGAUUCUACAGUGACCAAUCCUAAGAAGGCACGUGGCCUUAUGAGAUUGCGACACUUGGCAAACACAGGCUGCCAAAAAGUGAGCCCCCAAAUGGGGGUCUACAAUCACAUUUUUAUUUUCAAUAAGAACUCUAAAACUCAUUAAACUAUAAAAUGCAGAUAUACACUCUUGAGAGGACAAUAUGAAGAAUAAAAAGAAAUAAGAAAGAAGCAACAAGAUUUGGAUUUUUAGAUGUGACUCUUAUGUCAUACAUUAUACGACAUAAAUGUUAUUUUAUUUGGAAUUGAGAAUUGUGGGUUUUUUUAUGCAACUCUUGUGUCAUUUGGUUAGCCGGUUUUAUGCAUAUGAAACGUAAGUAUACAUGAAUGUUGGGAUGCUUAACAUUUCUAAAUCAUGUUUUAAUGUGUAUUCACUUUUCUUUUUUAGUUUUGGUGGGUUUGAUAUACUAUGUUUUGUGAACAUUUGAUAUACAAAUAUUAGUGGAUGAUGUAAUGUAUUAUAGGUUAAUCCAUAAGCAUAAAGAAAAUAUAAGUUAAAUGUAAUAUGAUUAUUAUAUUUAUGGACAAAAUUUACACACGUUGAUCUUAUUUAUUAAUAAGCAUUACAAAAAUCUAUAGGCUAGUCAACAAAAAACAACCAUAUCUUCUAUAAUCAUUUACAAUGAAGUGACACCAUAAUUCAAAGGUGAUGCAUUUAACGUGACAUCAUAACUCAAAGGUGAUGCAUUUAAUAUGACACCUUAUAUAUCUCACAUAACUCUAUAUCAAAUUAAGCAUCACUAAAAAUAUAUGGUGUCGCUUCUAAAUGCGUCACAAUUUAUCUGUUUUGGUGUCGCUUCCAAAUACGUCACCAAUUGGUACCCUCUAUGGUAUUGGUGGAUAAGGUGACGCUAUGUUGUAGCGACACCCUAUGUUUAGGGUGACUCGUUAUAAAUGUCACCAUAUAUGUUUUUCCUUGUAGUGUCAUUGGGAAGGUUUUUUCCAUUUUUUAGAGGGGUUUUCUAAAGGCUUCUAGGGUGAGGACACUGUUCUCAUAUUGGCUUUUUUUCCCCCUUUUUAGAGGGGUCUUCUAAAGGCUUCUAAGGUCAACUAGGAGAGCAUGUUGAUUGAUGCUUUGAUAUGGAUACCAGAUGCCACAUUUCAUCUUGUUGAACACUGGUUAGCUAUGGACUUGUUACUGCUUUACUCUUCUGUUUCGAGUUAACUUUGGAAAUGAAUCUGAAUAUAGACUAGUAUUUGCAUCUUGAUGUUUAGAGAAUCAUAUUUUAGUUGUUGUUUAAAAUUCAUUUUGGCAUGUUCGAUUGCUUCAAGCUCAUUUAUACAAUAAUGAAAUGGAGAUUUAUAUAUUUGUUAUUGGGUUGGCUCUCUGUUUGGUUAUCUUUAAGUUCUGCAUCUUUUCUUUUCUCGUUGCCUUAUCUUCUCUGGGGGGUGUCGUUUGAGAAAUACAUAGUGGAAAAAAUGGGAAGCUGAAGGCUUAUCCUGGCAUCGACCUCGCGUUAGGGAACGACUUGAUCGAAGAACAUAUGAAUUUUUCAAAUACCCAGAACUCACAUCAAAAGAAGCAUCGGAGUCAAGGUCAAACACAUCAUCUGACAAGGAAUAUACCUUUGCCUUUGGUGACUUUAUUGACUUCUGCAUGAUGGACAUCCGAGGGUGGGGACUGGAAGAGAAAUGAUGAAUUUGCCCAAGAUAGUUUGUCUAGAAAGGAACUUGUAUUAAAUGAUGAUUACCCACUAUGUCAGAUGUUGAAAUUUGGGUAUGACAACUCCUGGUGGCAUCAGAAAGAUGAGUUGCACAAUCCUUCUCACAGUUGAAAGCUUGACCUCCGAAGUUGGGCUUUUUCAUGGCCAGACAAGAACAGUGAUCACAAUAGUAUGAGCCAAGCCUGUCACGACCCAAAUUCUAGGUGAACUUAACCAUGACUCCAAAUCAAAGGUUUAAACUUAAAGGUUACAUCUAUUCAAUCUAGUAGUCAAUCCUGAUAACUUGAUUUUUUUUUCUUGAUAAAACAAUAUCUAAUCCCAAAUCAAUUUAUUAAGCUAAUAACUUGAUUUUUUUUCUCAAUAAAACAACAUCUAGUCCCAAAUUAAUUUAUUAAGCUAAGAUUUACUAUAUCAUAUUAUUUGAUUUUAUUUUUCAAAAAUCAACCAUUACACUAUCACUUAUUUGCAAGUAUAAUAAAUCUGUCAAACAUCUUAUCACCCAAAAUGAUAACCCAAAUAUUUACAAAAAAAAGUUUUACAAAUUAAUAAAAUAUAGUCUAAGUUAUAAAAGUUCUUAUAAAUUAAAUUAGUAUGUGCUAAAAUAUAAGAUAACUGAAAAAAAAAAAAAAAAAAAAAAAACCAUUAUUAUUAUGGUUCCUUAAAAACUAUAUUUGCAUCUAAAAAUUUUAGAAAAUAAAGGGAUGGACAUUUCCACAUUACUUAGUAAGGUAUUUUACACCCACACAAAUUAGAAAUUCUAAGUCAAUAAAACACAAUCAUAUAUCAAAGUGUAAUUUUACAUCUAAUGUACUACAACUAUAUACAUUUAAACUAAUCAAAAUUAUCACUAACCAUAAUCAGACUCCAAAUAAUACAAAUAACAUUUAUUAUCUCCCAAAAACAUAAUGUGUAAUUUUGUUUCCAAAGAAAAAUAUAAAAUAAAAGUUUUAGGGUUAAACCACCCUACAUCAAAUUUGAAAAUCUAAUUGUUAAAACUAAAAUCAGACUCCGUAAAAAUGUUCUUUAUGUUAAAUAGAGUGUUUUGCUAAAAUCUCAUGCAAAACAGAAUUCAUUUGGCUUGUCGGAUGACAACCCAAAUAUUUGUUGCACCUUCCUUGUUUCUUCUCUUCCUUUGUGUUUCCGUUUGCACUCUUCUCUCUACGGAUCUGGUAAAUAGGGUAGCCCCUGGUACGCUUGGGGCUGGAUUGAAUCCUAUUCGAACUAUAUCUAACUUGAUCUUGUCCAAGCUAGGAAGGUUUUUGGUCUCGAUGACAUUGGAAGUUUCAUCAUUGCUAAAGAAAGGGGCGGCCAAAAAGGCUUAGCGACGACCCUCUCUCGACUUAAAGGAAACGACUUGUCCCAUCCAAUGCCCUACUUUUAAGUGCUCGGUAUGUUCACUUAAUCAAAUCUAGAAGAAGCUUGGCCUCUGUAGAGCAUGAAAAGGCUAGUUUUGAAGCUUUUAAUCGAGGACUUAUUUGCCCUAAAGCCUGACUUCUUAGGAAGAGAAAUGGGCUUGACUUCUUCAUCAACCUCGGAAUCGCAUUCUAUCACACUGGUGGUACUUCUUGUUGAAUUAAAAGAUUGGAUGAGUCUUUUUGUACCCACCCGCCACCCCUGUUUGAGAGUGAUUAAAUAUCAUAACUUCCUUAAUGGACCUACGGACUAGCUAAGGUUUACUUACAUAGUUGUUCUUUCUUUUCUCAAUUUCAAGUUAAAGUUAGCGUUUUUCAGCUUACUGUUUGCUUUGGUUGAGUAGCCGCCUUAUGACCCUUUGCUUUUGAAUGAAAUCAUCUAGAACCUCUCAGAUCGGAUUCCAAUCACCUUAGUGAGUCUCCUAGGUGCGAAGCCAUUCUUUAAGCCCAAAACAAAAGGAGAAGUGAAGUCACUAUCUAGACAAAGGGGCUUGCCUACUUAUAAGGUAGGAGUUCACACCGGGGAAUCGCUUUCUUAAUUAAUUAAAAGCGAGCCAAACUCACCACCUCAUGUACCAAAGUCAAACGGUUGUUCUUCCUUCCCCGCUCCCUUUUUCUCUACAUAUGUGAUGGCGGGCAGAGCGCUCUAUAUGACCGGUGGUGGGUUACCAGAGAAGAUGGGACAACUUCUUUCUCUCUUGCCUUGCUCAAUCUUCCUUUUCUGAUUGAAAGUAGCAAGCCACACCACUACUGGUACAGAGGUCGGAUAGAAGGUUGCUUUUUCUAUAUGUUCAGGCGAAGAACAUCUACGGCACAGUCUUCGCCAAGCAAGAUGAUGUAACUCCUCAAAACAUAAAAAGAGCUCUUAUAUAUGUAAAAACAUGAUAUAUGUGUAAAUGAAUUAUAGCCAUUUUCAAAUAGAUCAGGAUCGUCAGAUGUUUGAAAUGGAAAGUCAAUUUUUCUAUAUGCAUGUAGAUAUCUAUAGGGGAUUAUAUGAAGGGGAUGUUAUUAUUUUAGAUAUAAUCAAUUCCCUUCUCGGAGCCCACUAAGAUCCGGAUCUCCUACGGAAAUGAUUUAGAAGAUCCAAAACCAAAAAUAGUGGUAUUUGCUAGCAACAACAUAAUGGAGGCAGUCAAUCAAUAUAUAUUGAUCUAAAAUCUGAUUCAAAUCCAAUAUAGCACCUAUGGGUACAUAAAAGAAAGGCAAGAGAGAAAAGAAGUCCAUACUUUUCAACAAAGCUUUAAGUGAGUAGGGGUGUAGCAGAUUCAUGCACGUCGAAUAUAAAUGCAGUUGGAUGAGUAGUCGCGGAUUCACAAUGCCGGUUAAAAAGCCAAUCUUAGGGUUGCAUUCACUCCCCUUCUAUAUCUUGCAUCUAUAGUAUUUUUGUCCUGGUGGAUCUCUUUAUCAUUUAAUAAAAGUUUGGAAUCUUGGGUUACUAAUUGGUGGAAUACUAGGCAAUCUAAAACUUUUUUGAAUGAUAUUCAAGAAAACAAUCAAUUUCCCAUCAUUUGCACUAUGAAUGGAAAUGAAAUUCUAGAUCUAGAAUCAGAUGAAUGUGCAACAGUCAAUUUCCUCCCUCACAACCUAAUUGUCCACUAAAAACAACCUUUUUUACUAUACGCUAUUUGGCCGCUAGAAGAACUUCAGUUCUUAUAGGUAAAUGCUCAAUACCCAAGUAGGCCUACAAAGUUGAUCAUGAUCAAGUGCUUUUUGGGUCGUCUUAGACCUUGCAAUAUCUCUCCGGCCCUCUAGCACUCUGUUAUGGCUCAAUCACUUACUCUAGUUCUGGAGUUCUAGGUCCUCUAGCUAUUAGUGCAGGUAGCUCUCCUUCUGGUAAUGCAUUAUAGGUUGUCUUCCUUCCACCUUCCUGUUUUCAAGAAAGCUUAUUUUCUUUCUAAGAAAAAUCAUACAAUCUCGUAUGAGAACGGGAUUGAUGGGAGGCAUAUGCUCCCAGGCUACACAAUGUCUUACAGGGCUUACCCAGUUAGAAGGUAUGUAACUAAAGUCUCAAGAGAAUUGAAAUCGACGAGAAAUCAGAAUCAAUGUUAGAGAUUAGACUUGGCAUGGAAAAAGGAGUAUAGUAAGAUGAUAGAGACCUCGCACGAGAUGCUUACUCGGAUUCAUGCCCAUAAAGAGUAGAAGAUUCAACACAAGUGCAAGAAUAGGUUUCACAGUUAAGAAAGGUUGAGAUUCAGGUGAGUGAGUGAGUCCUCACUGACUUGAGCGAUUUCGAUCACCUAGCAGUUUAUUUGGUAGGUAACAUCGCUAAAGCAUAUCAUCUGAUCUACAAAUGAAGGAAAUCAAAGUGAGACGACACCGUCCUCUGUAACGCAACGAUAGUUGGCCCUUUAUCAUCAACUAUUUGGUAGACUUGGUAAAAGAUGUAAGGCUUUAGCUAGUACACGAAAGUGCAUACCAUGAUUCUUCUGUCUAUCAAUAACUGCAUGCAUUGCACGAUGGAUGUGAAGAAGUAGGCCAUUAUCUCGACAAUAAUGAGCCAAGCUAGUAUUUGCAGUGAAUCCCCCUGUUAAGUAGUCACAUUAAUGGAACAAGAACACAUUAGCGUAUGAAACAGAGCUGAAAGCGCGAGUGCACAAUCUCAAAAACGGCAAAUUCACGUUCUACUUCCUCAAUCUCGAACUCUGUCUAUUGGGAUGAGCUCCCCUUACCUGCGCUAUUCUAUGAACGAACUUCCUUUAUAAACCAUAAAACUGGAACAAUCACUGUUCCAGGGUCUGUCUCAGAGUUCUAUCUCGUGCUUGACAUCAAUUGCAUCCAAACCUUUAAUCGGGUAUACUUUCCACAAUAACAAGCGAGUCAUAGUUAGGUAAAAGUUAUACAGAAAGAUGACAUCGUUGGCGAACUUGAAGCUAGUUAGGUAAAUCCCCUUAUAUUCUUCUUUCUUCUCCCAUAAGACAUUCCUUAUUAUUAUUAUUAUUAUUAUUUUCAUUUUCUCAAUUUCUUUAUCUUUUCAACUUUAAGACACCAUUUUGCACUUCUUCUUUUUUAUUAUAAUUAUUAUUCUUUAUCAACCAUACCAUGUUAAGAAAUUUAUUUAUUUUAAUCCAAAAAUCUACUUAAAUACAAUUUCAUACUUUUCUUAAUAAAUUAUAUAUAUAUAUAUAUAUAUAUAUAUAUAUAUAUAUAUAUAUAUAUAUAUAUAUAUAUAUAUAUAUUAUUUCUUAUUAUAACAAAUUUAAAAUGUCACAUGUAUCAUUUUUUUAAUAAAUCAAAUUAUUAUUCUUUAUUUCAUAUUCUACAAUUAUAAAUUAUACUCAAUAUAUGAUUUAUUGUCUUACGAAAAAUAUACUGCUAUAUUCUUAAUUAAAUUUAUUACAAGUCUACUUUUCAAAAAAAAAUUAAUUUGACUUUAAUUACUUGAAACAUUUUUAUUAUGAAAUUCAUUUAGAACAUGAUUUCAUUAAUUAUAUAUUUAAAAAAAAUCAAUUUUAGAAAAAAAUCUGAAACAUAAAAUAAUUCUUCAACAUCAAGAAGCUGAAAUUCAUAAUAAUAUUUAAUCCUUUAAUUUUACCAAUAUUUAUUUACCAAUAAAAUUUAAGCAAUAUUCUGAAAUUUAAUUCCAUUAGUUAUUUAGUCAUUCAAUUUAUAAAAUCAUAUUCUCAACCUUUGGUAUAACUUUUAUUUAAUUUACUUCAUUUGUCAAAUUUCUCAAUUGAAUCAAAAUUUCAAAAGUUAAAUUCACUAAAUUCAUAUUUAAUUAAUUUAGCCUUUUAUAUUCCCUAAAUUAAUAUAUCAUAAUUUACUCUUAAUGUAAUUUCAAUUCAAUUUUAUUUGAUGUUUUGUAAUUCUAUAAGGUUUAAUUCUAAUUAUAAAAAUUAUUGAUUUCUUAUAAAAUUAAAUUCAAUUUCUUUUUAAUUAUCCAUUAUAACAAUUUGAUAUAAUCUAAAUUUUUAUCAAGUUUUUCUUACUACAAUUCUCUAUAAUUAAAUUAAUGGUCAUAAUAUACUUAAUAUUCAAUUUUAGAGACUAUAAUAUCAAUAAUUAUUUGAUGGUUGAAUUUUUUUCCAAAUUUAAAUUUAAUUUUUGAAAUUCCUACUCUUUGCAUAUGACGUGAUGGAAUUUUUAUACUAUUGACUUUUUAUUAACUUUUUCAAAAAAUUUCUUAAUUAAAUAUUAACACGGGGAUUUUCGUCAUUCUUUUUUAACAUUUGACUAAUGAUUUUAUGAUAACUUUAAUCUGACAUGUCAUUAAAAAUCCGGUUGUUAUAGAGCCAGUCAAAUUAAGCCUGUUAUCCGAGGAGUGAAGCCACUGCCUUGUUCUAUCUCCGAUGGCCUGCUCAGCUCCUUCAACCCCCAUCGCUCUCCUCUUUCCAAGUUCUCCAUUUUCAGUUUAGAGCCAACAAGGAUCGCAGAAAUCCUUAAAGAUUGACCUACAUGGUAUCGUGAGUACCGCGAUGUGGAUGUUCUUAAUGUGUUGUCUACUAGAGCCAAAUGGGUGUUUGAUAAGACCCAGUGAAGGUGUAAAAAUUAUAUGACGAAGCUUGCAGAAAGACUUUGAGUUGAGGGAAGGCAUCUCAACGAAGUUGGGCUUUUGUAUUGUGAAUCUGGCAAAUUACCUAUACUGCAUGGAUCAUCACUCUUUUAACGUGGAGGUACACAGGUCCUUUGCAAUGUGACACUUGGGGCACCACAUCAAGCUGGUGAUGCUCAACGACUGGCUUCUCUGGACGGGUCCUCCAACAAAGCGCUUCAUGCUUCACUGAAAUUUCCCGGAGUUCUCAAUUAAUGAAGUUGGCCAACUCCUUAACCUGCACUGUUCCGCAGCAGUCACAUAAAGAUUUGACAUUGAAAUUGAUCAGGUUUUUCCUCUGCCAAUGGUGGUGGGCGCGCUUUGUAUGUAGAUUCCGAAGGAACUUCCAACUUGAUGGCUGUGAGUGGUAAGGUUGGAGAAGAUACUACUGGGUCUGCCCCAUUAGUUUUCCAUUGUUAAGGUAGUUUGGUGCACAGCUUCCUGGAUCAUCUACACCACGAGCACCUCCAGCCGCCUGUUUUGAUCAGUUUCUGGAUUUCCAUCUCCAAAUUGUGCAAGCAGUGACUGAUAUGGUGUCCAUACAAGCGGCUACUGAAAUGGUUCAAACCCCAAAUGCUGAAGGGAAAGGAGCUUUUGGAAAAUAUCAUGAAGAAGACUCACCCAUCUUACAUGAAAUUAUACACAACUCCAUGGACCAGAACCGGAACCCAGACUUAAAUUUGUCCAAGAGAAGAUCAGUGUAAUACAAGUCAACUGCAGUCAUUCCUGAAAGAAGUGAUGAGAAGAGUAAACCUGGAAAAGCAGUGAGUGAAACAAGUUUUGUGACAUUGAACAAUUUGCAGAUGGGUGUUCCCACAAGCUCCUCUCCCCUCUUCCUACGUGCAUGAAAUUCCUACGUGCAUGGCCACCUUCUUAGGUGUGCAAUUCUGCGCAUAAUUCUCAAGCGUACUAUCACCCUCUUCUUUUUUGAAAAAUUGAUUUUAAAUUUAAAAUUUUGACAAAUUCAUUUCCCUUUUAAAAUCCCUCAGUAAUUCUCUUCAAAUUAAUAAAAUCUAUUUUCAAAAAAAAUUUGCUGCCAUUUUCCUUUUGGCAUAGACCUUUUUCUAUUUUCUUUGAUUUUUAAUCAUUUUCCAAUUUUUUAAUAAAUAUGAAUAAAUUCUAUGUUUUUAAAAAUAAUGGAAUUUUGUCCAAAUUUCUAUUAUCUUUUUCUCCAUGAUCAUUAGAAAGAUGAAAUUCCUAAAAUUAAUUCAUGCAAAUAAAUUGGACAUUGGUAGGCCCAACAUAUGAAUUUUUCUCCUUUGAUUAUUGUUUUUAAUUGCUACACUUGAUUGACUAAUGAUUGAUCUCUGUCUUGCUCUAGCAUACAUGAGAUUAUUUUGUGCUUGUUAUUGUACACUAACCAUGUUUCUCACGAAGCGCUCAACUUAUUCUCAAGUACGUUCUUUCCUUUUCCUAUUCGUUUAGUUAUAACCAAUGUUUUCAAAAUCGGACCGAUCAUUGAAUUGGAAAAGUUACUGGUUCACGGUUCACUGGUCGAAUCGGCGGUCAAAUCACGGUCAAACUAGUGAUGUCAUAAAUAUAUAAUUUAUAAAUUAUUAAAAUUUAAAAUAAUUAUAAAAAUAAAAAUAAUAAUUUAUAUAUUAUUUAAAAAUUAAAAUUUUAUUUAAAAAUUAGAAAAUUAGUUUCAAAUUAGAAAUUAAAAUUAAAAUCAUAAUUUUAAUUUUAAUUUUCAAAUUUUCAAAUUCAUUUUUAAAUAAAAAAAAACUUAUUUUAAAAUCAUGAAUUUAUUUAAAAUUAUAAUAUUUUCAUUAAUUUAAAUUAAAAUCAUAAGUUUUAAACAUCAUGAAAUAAAAAAUAAUAAAUAUAAAAGAAAAUAAAUUAUACUGAAAUGAGGUAAAAAAUAAUUUAAAAAAAUGGAAAAAGAGAGGAGAGGAACAAGCAAAAAAGGGUUCCAACAGGGUUUUGGGGGGUGGGGUUUCCAUUUCUAGCGCCAGGUGGGGGCCCUUCCGGUGGGCCAAAAGGGGAAAAGCUUUUUGGCUUUUCCAGUGCAAGGGGUGCCGAUGGGGUGGGGGGUUCCAAUGGGCAAGAAGAGCUCUUCCAGCGCACGCGGGUAGGAGUGGCGACAAUGGGGAAAAAAAAAAAGUUGAACCGGAUGGUUCCAUCCGAACCGUCCGGUUAGUCGGCCGAACCACCGAUUUAACUAGUCCGACCACUUUCCAGCCCAAUUGACCAAACCAGAUUGAAACCGUGACCAGCCGAUCCAAUCCAAUUUUUAAAGCCAUAAUUAUAGCUCAACCAUAACACAUCAUUGAUCAUUACUUGGUAUUUGUUGACUUUUUGAUCAAUUGUCAUUCUUAUAUUAACUUGAUUAUUAGAGACCUAAUUUUAGGGUAUAAAGGGGUAUUACGAUUUAUCAUCCUACCUUCUCAACAAGUAACCUGACCCUUGAACCCAGACUUGGUUUUUCAUAAACCCGUAUUUUCCUUUCAAGUUUCAUACUUAGAAUUUUUUUUUUUCCAUUUAAAAAUAAAAUAAAGAUACGUGGCCUAAAACCAUUUUCAUCAAUCCAAAGUGAGUCUUGUCUUUUUUUUUUUCAAGUAAGGACACGAUCACAGGUCUACAAUACUAUUUUAAUAUAUAUAAUGAAAUAUAGAUAUUAACGCCAUCUUAAAGAUAUAAUUAAAUUUUUUGUUUAAAAUAAAUUAUAAUAAUUUAAAAAUAAUAUUUUAUUUAAAAUAAAUUUUAGAAUAAGCAAAGUUGAUAUGUGGACAUAGAGAAUCGUGAACCAUUGUAAAUGUAUUGAUUAUAUCUCUUUCUUCCCAUUUCAUUUUUACUUUAGUUUUUAUUAUUCGUAUCUUUUUCUACUAAAAUUUGAAAAAGAAAUUCACAUUCACUUCUUCUUGGGUGUAUAUCAUAGGAUUCAAAAUGUUUUUAAAAAUUAUUAAAUUUGUUAAUUGUGACUAUAUGCUUAUUUAGGAUCCAUUGAUCUUAAUAACUUUCUUCCCGAUAUAGGAAGAAAAUGACUAUUCCAUUAAUGCAGCAUGCAUUGCUGCUUAUUUAUCAAGCAAAUUACAUUAUUAUUUUCACACCAAACCUCCAAAUUCUCCAUGCAUAUACGCAUCCUAUACUGCAUGGCCAACUUCAGAGAGCUAAAACAAGCUCUUAUUGAAUACAUGAUAGAUAAUGUCCCACUGACCCUUUUACUCUGAUACCCUGAAAUGAGAAAUUUGGAGGUUUUCCACAUCAAGCUUCUUGAAAUUACUGCGCCUUCUCGUAACAAAGAACUUUCCCCAGUUGUAUGCUCUAUACUUUGGCUUUUCCCCCUUCGUCAGCUCCUCCAAGGGCUUCACCCAAACAUGGUGCCCGGGACUCAAAACGAACGGAAUCGAGAACCUUUCCCUCUCUGAAUUCACCAUCACCCUGUGCUCCACACUUUCAUAAGUAUCGUUGCUCCAGACCUGGUUUAAUAUCAGUAGAAUUAACCAAAUGAGUGAAAAAUUCCUUGAGCCAAACACUACUGAUAAGCAUGUACUUGUAAUUCAAAGUUCUUGGGUGGUACCUGAACUAUAUCCCCAACAUUGAUGAUAUAAGCAUCUGGGGUGGGCUUAACUCGAACCCAUUCUCCAUCAGUUUUUCGCUUUACUUCCAACCCUCCAACAUCAUCCUGAGCAAGGAAAGUUAAGGCUCCGGAAUCCUUGUGGCGACCAAUGCCCAGAGCUAGGUGAGGAAUGGAGCAAGGUGGGUAGUGAUUGAGGCGGAUGAAGUUUGUUGAUUCUUCAAAGAGAAGAUUGAAUCUGUUCUCUGGCAAACCUAAGCUCAGAGAGAGGAGUCCCAACAGAUUGACAGCUAGUUUUUCCAUUUCUCUAGCAUAUUCUUCACAUACCUCCCUGUAUAAAUCAGCUCAAUUAGAACAAAAAAACUUAAGUAAUUCACUGUAGUGACUGUGCCUUAGCUGGUGGAAUUUGUACCUUAAUUCAGGAGGGUACUGAGGCCACUGAUUGAUCAGCUUUUCGAGCUCCUUGUCGUCAGGAUUAGGCGAAGCAGGGAUGAAGGCGGGGGAUGACGCCACGAUAUCAAAGACUUCCUUCCAGUCCCUAACGUUCUUGGUAUGCUCAGUAUCGAAAUACCCAAAAGGAUUCACCUCAUCUCUACUCACCUUCCUCUUCUCCUCCAAUGGCAGAGCGAAGAACUUCCUCGCCGCAUCCUCAAUUUUACGACGAGACUCGGAGGGCACCCCAUGGUUGAUGACUUGAAAGAAGCCCCAGUUCUUGCACGCAUCAGCUAUUUGAGAAACAUGGUUGGAAGCAUUGGCGGAAGAGAGAUCAAUGAGGGGGAUGCCUUCAGCUUCGAUAACAGCGAGCUUAGGCCUAUGUUGGGUGUCUUGGAUGAAAGCUGGAUCGACCUCUCCCAUGGCUGUGGUAGUGGUUAGAACUUAGAACUUAGAAAUGGCGGUUAUGCACUGCUGGUGUUAGCUGCACGUGAAGAUGGUGAGGGGGACUUGGCCACUUAGCAGGUGGUUUUUGUAGUGUAGUGGGGUUGGUUUAGUACAUUGAACCUGGACAUAAUUGGGGUUACGUUUUAAGUUUUGGUUGGGGGUGUGGGCUCAUGGGUUGCGCAAAUGUCAAUGAUAAUUGGUCAAGUGAUACCAAGUUAUUUCCAAAAUCUGCAGCCGCAAAGGGUAUCUCUCUCGAUGAUUUUGGCAACGUACAGCACUCUCCACAUUCAAAUGUUUGAUCAAAGAUACGUUUUGUUUAGUGUCGUGUAUAUUUUCGAAUUAAUUACUUCAUAUUUAGGGAUACGUUUUGUUGAGUAUCGUGUAUAUUUUCGAAUUAAAAACUUCAUAUUUAGGGAAAAGUGUGCUUCAAUACGCUAAUAUAAAAAUAUCAGCAAAAUAAGAUCCUAAUUUUUCAUAUUUUAAGGUUUAUAAUGCAAUUGGAAAUUAUUUGGAGAAUUAUGCAUUUUCAGCUCAUGUGUAUUUCAAAUCCAAAAUGCUCUCCACCUUGCCAGCCAAGUCUUACACGUUGAAAGUAAAGAGAGAAAAAAUCUUCAAAAAGCCACCAAAACCAAUUUCUCUUUCUUUUUGAGUUAUUUGAUUCAAAAGAUCAAUAAAAUCCAAUUUUUAAAAUUUAACCCUUUGUUCUUUUUUUUUUCAUUUUGAUAAAAAUAUCUUUACCAUUUUCUUGUAGAAAUAACAUUUUUUUUAAACCUAUAUGUAAAUACUUGAAAUGGUAAGAGACGUGUACAUUAAAAAAAAGUUAUUUUUCAAGUAAAAAUAUAGAAAGGAUUAUUUCAUCCCUUUUAACCAAAUAUUUAACAUGAUCAAGGACUAUUCCCUAAAUGAAGGCAUACGGUAGCAAAUACCCUUAAUCUAAACAUUAAAAGUACAACUUAUCUAGUAUCAAACACUCUGUUUUAAAACCCAUAGCCACUCCAAAUAUCCCAAAUAUUCUUUUCUAUGCAACCUCUCUCUCUCUCUUUCUCGCACAAACACACUAAAAUAUUUUCUCAAACUUGGAUUUUUCUCCACAACUCAACCCUAACUUCCUUUCUAUUUGUACCAAGGCUAGAGAAUAUAGUUUAUACUUGUAUUCCUUCAUGUACCAAGCCCACAAGAUGAUCAAUAAGUUUCUCUCUAGAUUUUACAUUGGAGUUGAUUGAUGAUAGUACCCUUAUUAGGUAGUAUAUUAUCUUCCUUAGGUACUGCUUUUUCCAUCCUUAGAUACUACCUUUGUAACCUUGGGUGCAUGAUUGAAUCCAUUGUUUCAUGGCUACUUCAAGUAAGUCAGGAACUUAUGUACAUGUGUGCUACAUGUCUUAUAGAUACUAAAUUUACAUUCUUUAGGUACUACCUUUACCUUCCAUGGGUACAAAUACGGUUAAUGAUAAGAAUUUUAAUAUAAAAAAGGGAAAAACCCUGCUUGAUAAUAAAAUUGCAUAUAUUUUCUUUCUUUCUUUCCUUUUUGAUUGAUUUUUUUUUUUUUUGGUCUUUGCUUUGGUUUUUAUUUAUGUCUUUGUUUCUUUUAGUCUUUGUGUGUGUGUGUUUUAUUUUAUCUUAUUUUCAUCUCUAUGCAGAAGAUGUAGAAGAAACAACAUCACAUCAUAAGGUGCAUUUUUCCGUUCAUUUAAGACUAAAGGUUUUGGAUUCACAAAAUGGUGGGAACUAAGGGUGAGAAGCUGGAAAAAUGUUGGAUUGAGCUACAUUUGAUCAAUGGUGAAUUUGCAAAAAAGAUUGUAGGAGAGUGUAGACCCUCAAUUUUGUCCCUUUAGCACAUGUUUUAAAGUCCAUUACCAAUACUUUACAGUAAUCUCUUGGUAGCCCAUAGCUACUCACGCUACUUACCUUUCUUGAGCCACCUCGGAGACUCUAGUUGAGGGAUUGCCUAACCCCUUAUUGUGACCCUUGGCAGUUUUGAUUUAGACUUAAGGUUUUCAUUCCUUCUUAGGAUAGCUCUUAGGUGCACUUUUAGGUCCACUUAGGCAUCACCCUUGGCUAAUUUAGACAUUUUGGGCCCGUUUAGACACCUUAAACUCGCCUAGAUUCACCUUAGACCCGCUUAAGCACUUCAUUGGGGCUCAACAUUUUUAUAUAAUCUCUUGAUCAUUAUUGCAUGCAUUUGAUGAUUAUAUUUUCUUUGUUUAUUCAUUUAUUUGUUUGUUUAUUUAUUCAUCCAUUUAUUUAUUCAUUUUUUAAUUUCUAUUACGUCUUGUUUUUUUUUUUCUUUCUUUCUUUCAUUUAUUUACCUACUUAAUAGAGAAUUGUUUAGAUAUUAAAUAUGCAUACAACCCCCUUAUUGAAUGAUGGAAUUGUACAAUCUGAUAUCUCAUUUUCUCUUUCAUUUUCUUUUAAUCGUAUUUCACUUUAUUACCAAUUUCAUGACUUUCAUUAGUUGCUUCUCUUUUCCUUUGAUUUUUUAAUCUUAUCUUAUUUUGUUUUGCAUAAGGAGCACCAUCUUGGGGAGUACAAGAGGAUCUACAUUACUGGUUUGAUCAACAUAUGUUUGAGACUAAAAGCCUUCAAGAUGGCAAAAGAUGGUCAUCACAGCCCCAUGCUUCUUCUUCCCAUCUCUCAUAAUUGAAGCCUCUGUACAAAACUUCAUCAUAUCCUGAACAAUAGCAGCCACAGCAGUUGCAGCCACAGCAGCUGCAGCCACAGCAACUGCAGCCACAACAGCUGCAGCCACAGCAGCUGCAGCGACAGCGGCAACCACAGUUAAUGCUGCAACAGCAGCCACAGCAGCAUAGACUGCAUCAUCCAGUUCAACCUUCAUUUGGUCAUUUAUCAGGGUUGCAGCCCCAACUAUUUAAUCCCCAUCUUUCCCCAGCUCCACUCAUCAUGAACAAAUAUGAAGCAAUGCUUGGGAUAGGUAAUCUGAGGGAUCAAAGACCCAAGUCAAUGCAAAAAGGUAGACCAAAUCAUCGGGUUUCUCAACAGGGCUUGGAUACUAGCAGUCGGAAGAGUGAUGUUGGUGGCCACAGUUCAGAUCCAAGUAUAUGACAGCUGAUGAAAUCGAAAGUAUCCUUAGAAUGCAACGUUGCGGAACAGAUGGAUGAGUAGAAAGGAAAAUAGCAUGAAAAUAGAAAGGAAGUGACCACUUUGUGCACAACACGCAUAUAGUGGGCUGUAAGGGGGAUUCUUUUUUGUUUAGAAAGAAAAGUCAACUUGUAUCACUUACUAAACGAGAUGUGGCUGCAUCCUUGAGGGAAUCUCCCAAUGAGCCACCAUGUAUGCACUUUCCUUAUCCAUGUGCAUUGAAAAAGGAUAUAGAAUAUUCAAUAGAGGAAAGGUGCUGCCAUAUAGAAGGAAGGUGCUGCCAUAUAAACAUGUCACAGAGAGAACACACGGUGGACUUUUCUUUUGGGAGCAGAAAUUCACAUACAAAAAGUAAUCUUUUUUAGAGGAGAUGAACACACGCAAGAGUUUUUUUUUGGGAGCGGUAGAGGACCUGAACGACUAAUUGGGCUGCCAUUUUGACACAUCAAGAAAGUAUUUUUCCAAUACAAUACAGGUUAGUUUUCGAUUUUUGAUACCGUAUUUCCUUUUUUUUUUAGUUUGGGUUUUAGUUGUUUGGUUUAAUUAAUUGUUUGUGAUAAAUUCUUUUAAAUCUCGAUUUCGAACAAUCUUUUAUUUUUCUUAUAUUAAAUGUCUAUCUUUUAUGAUUGCAAUUCAUUAGUUCUAUGCUAGUUUAUUUUUAAUUUACAUGAAAGUUUAAAUAAAGUUUAUAUUUUUAAUUCCAAUUAGUUUAUUUUUAAAUUUGAAUGAGUUAUCGAUCUUAAUUAUUUAGUUUAAUUGACCUUGUGAGAUAAAAUUUAUAUUUUUAAUUCUAAUUAGUUUAAUUUUAGUUUAUUUUUAAUUUGAAUGAGUUAUCGAUCUUAAUUCUUUAGUUUAAUCGACCUUGUGAGAUAAAAUUUAUAUUUUUAAUUCCAAUUAGUUUAAUUUUAGUUUAUUUUUAAUUUGAAUGAGUUAUCGAUUUUAAUUCUUUGGUUUAAUUGUCCUUGUGAGAUAAAAUUUAUAUUUUUAAUUCCAAUUAGUUUAAUUUUAGUUUAUUUUUAAUUUGAAUGAGUUAUUGAUCUUAAAUCUAUUAGUUUAAUUGGACUUGUAAGGUAAAGUUUAUAUUUUUAAUUCCGAUUAGUUUAAUUUUAGUUUAUUUUUAAUUUGAAUGAGUUAUUGAUCUUAAAUCUAUUAGUUUAAUUGGACUUGUAAGGUAAAAUUUAUAUUUUUAAUUCUAAUUAGUUUAAUUUUAGUUUAUUUUUAAUUCGAAUGAGUCAUUGAUCUUAAUCUAUUAGUUUAAUUGGUCUUGUAAGGUAAAGUUUAUAUUUUUAAUUCCGAUUAGUUUAAAUUCUAGUUUAUUUUUAAUUUGAAUGUGUUAUCGAUCUUAAUUCUUUAGUUUAAUCGAUCUUGUGAGGUAAAGUUUACAUUUUUAAUUCCAAUUAGUCUAAUUCUAGUUAUUCAUGUGUUUCUUGAAAUCUAAAUGUUAGUUUUUGAAUGAUAAUUUUGUUAGUUUGUUUGAUUAGGAAGUCAUAAAUUUGUUGUCUUAGUGAUUGUUGGUCAAUUUUUUUUUAGGACCACUGGAAACCCAUGAAGGUUGGCCUUUACUCUCACCACUUUAAUUGAUAAGAUUUUCUAAAAUCUUUAUUUCGUGAUCUUUGUUUCCUUUUGUUUUGAUUGAUAUUUUGUUUUCUAUUUUUGUUAUUUUAAAAAUUAAUUUCUUUUAUUUUAAAACAAAACUCUUUUUCUCAAAAAAACCCUUUUUAAAAUUUUUUUUUUAUUAUUCAUUUAAAGCCUCUAGAAUCAAAAUCUAUUUUCUUUUUUAAAAAAUAACAUGCAACCAUAUCUUAAUCAGUUUGCAUCCUUCUCAAUUUUCAACAAAAAUAUCCUUCUCAAUUUUCAACAAAAAUUUUGGUUUUAAACAAAACGCGAAUCAAAGCUUGUGGUCCCAAAUAAAUGGAACAAUUUUAGGCUAAAUUCAUGUAUAUUAAUUUGGGGAAUUGGUGAAACCCCUACAUAAGAAAAUCUUUUCAAAAUUUACUUUUGCUACCACCCUACUAUUUAUCAUAAUCAUAUUUACUUUUUUUCUUUUUAGGAAUUGUAUACAAGAUAUGUAUGAUAAUUAAUUAUUCCGAGUUCUGAUAAUUUUUGCUAAUUAAUUAGAUAAGCAUGCUAGGAUUUAUUAUUUAUUAUCUAUUAUCUAUUAUCUAACCCUCAUGUUCUGAGGAAGUGCAUUAGGAGUUAUAUAUGCUAUCCAGGUACGUUCCCAAAAUCUCAUGAAUAUGCAUGUCAUUACCCUUGUUUGAUGCCAUACUUGAUUGCCUCGAUGCUUGUUUGAUCAUCCUUGAUAAAAUGCAUGUCGUGUGUCAUAUUUCUGAAUUAACCAUUGAUGUUUAAUGAUAGUGCUUAAGAAGUGGUUCAGGUACGCACCCUAACUCUCCUUUAUUGUGAUUGAUCUCCUUAUUUAGCAUGCUACUUUCUGAAAAUCACCUAGCUUACUUAAGUAUCCAUAAUUAAUCAAUUAAUUGCCUCAUUUCCCCAAUUUAGUCAGUAAAGACCUCUUUAGGGCUUAGAAGGGUGCUACCUCCUAGAGGUACCUUCCCAAUAAGUAACCUGAUCCCCGGACCUAGACUCGGGUUUUUCAAAGACAUGUUUUUUUCAAAAAUUAUGGAGUCACAUUUUAGGGUUUUUCUUUCUUGUUUUAUUUUCCCUUUAAAAUAAAAAUAAAAUAAGUGGCGGCUCCAACUUUUCCAAAACUAAAUAAUUUUUCACAAAUAAAAAAAGAGUCUCGCCAAUCGAGUGGGGACGCAUGUGAAAAAUGCAGGUCCACAGAGAGGUUUCUUGAGGUGGACAAGGUCAGAAGCAAAGAGCCUUUCCCUACUUUUUGGGGUUGGUUCCUUGAGUUCUUAGGAAGAACUUAGUUAACGUGUGAAUUCAUUCAGGGUAAUUUAUGUAAGAUUUUCUAGAUUUUGCAAGUGAAUGCACCUUAGCUUUUCCUAUUGUAUUUGUGUUUUUUUAGGUUGAUUAUUUUAUUGAUUGUCACCACUCAAGGAAUGGAAGCAAUAGGGUCUCUAGAUGUAGUGCCUAAAGGCAAGCAUACAGGCGUUGUUAGGAGUGUGCUUCCCAUGUCCAACAAGCAUAUUGACACCACCCAAAGCCAAGGCAUCUUUGGACUAGGAGUUCUAGCUUCUACUUAUGUGGACUUUGUAGAUGCAGUCUGGCUCUUCGAAAUAUUUAUUGUUAUGUAGUAGUUAUACACAUGUACUUUGUUUAAGUGAAUUGAUUUUUGGAUUUUUACUUAAAUCAAAUUUAAGGGUAUGUUGUUUAAUUUACUAGAGAUCUCUUGUUUGUAAUUCUCGUUAUCAUAUAUAGAUCUUUGUUAGUAUUUGCCAAUUUCCUCAAUAGCAACUGUAUUAGUUAUCAAUGGAAUGAAUCUUGAGUAACUUGUAGUAUCAUUUUUGGUUUUGAAUUGGCUAAUCUUUUUUGGAAGAAUGAAUUAGAUAUAUGAGCUUGAUUGCAAGCAAUAGUUGAGUUUGUUUUGAUCUUGGGGUAUUUGCCUUAUUGAUAGGACAUAGAUUUUGGGUCCAAAUAGUUGGAAAUUGAUGAGCUUAACCAGGACAUAGAUUUUAUCCCCUUGGGAGAACCACAACACUAACCAGUGUUCCUACAAAAGCUAAUAACCAUGAUUUAGAAAUGUGAUUUCCCUAAAGGGAAGCAUUUCUAAUCUUAUUUGAAGGGAAACUUUGAUGUCUUCCUUAAUACACUAGAAUAUUAAUUUAAAAACAACAAUUAAGGUUAUAUUAACUAUUAUAAUAAUUUAUAAAUUACAUAAAUAUGAUAAUAACUAUUAAAAUAAAAGUAUUAAACAUAAAAAUGUUUAAUUCUGUUGGGUAAAAACUUCAUAAAUAUUUUAUUAUUGAACUUCUAUCAUAUGAUCAAACAUAGUGAUGAUCCUUAGUUGGAUUAAUUAACACUUGUUUCAUAAAUUGAACAACAUAUAACAUGAUCAAUAAACAAACAAGUAAACAUCAUACUAGAUAAAACUAUCUCUUAAGAUUUCAAUUAUUACAUGUUUAAAUUACAAAUCAUAUUUUUGCAACUUUCGUAAAGUUAUGCAAUAGAUAUAAUUAAAAUUAUGAAACAUUGAAAAUGUAUAUUGAUUCAUUAUUCAAAUUCAUCAUAUCAUAUAUAUACUUUAGUUGUCCAUAAGAUCAAAUAAUAACCAAAAUUCGAAAAAUAUGUUUUAUGAUCCAAAAUUGAUUGACACUAAUAUCAAUUGUUACAUAAACUUUAUGUGAAAUAAUUAUUUUGGAAAAUCAAUUUGGAUGCAUAAAGCAUAAUAGUUAUAAGAAAUAAAGAAAUGACAAAAUAAUAAUUAUAUUUUUGUCUUAAUCCAUGAUACCGAUAACACUUUUAAAGUGAGUUCGAGUCACUUUGUGAAUUGUUGGGUCAAGGUAUUCAACUCAUCAUUCUCAUUUAGUAGAUGAGACAAUUGUGUGGUAUAUGUUGUUAUAAGCAAAACAACUAAAAACAUAAGAAUACAAUACAACUUAGGACCUUAACUUUAAAAAAAGAUUUAUAACUCUUAAUCUUCUCAUAAAAGAUUAUAUGAGAGUUAUACUCAUUAUUUUUAAACAUUAUAUAUAAAUUAAUGGACAAUAGUAAACUACCAACUUGAAUACAUUCAUGUAAUUAUAUAAAUUACACUUUUUCAUCUUCCUCUAUUAGUCAUAAACUUUAUAUAUAAAUUAAAUCUCAUAAUGAUGGAGUUACAAAAGUUGUAAUACCAUAUUCGUAUAAAUGAAAAUUUUCUAACUCCAUAUUUAUAAUUUUAAUUUUCUAUGUUAGAAGUUGAAUUUGUUCCACAUCGCCAAGUUACCGGGUUAUUAUGUUGUUUAUAUAUGUGGAUUGGGCACCCUCUCCCUUUAAGCAAGCUUUUAGGGAUGAAUUAUAUUCAAACCCAUUUAACAUGGUAUCAGAGCUUGGUUUGACUGGGGGUCGUGGGUUCAAGCCACCUCUUCGCAAUUCGUAUGUUUGUUCCUCAUUUGCAUGUUUGAAAGUCUAGAAAAGGGUAUUUGCAUUUGUUUGUUUGUCCCUUCACGUGUGGAUAUGGGGCCACACAUAAGAUAUGGUGUUAAAAAGCAUGAAAUGUAUAUUGAACCCAAAUCUUAUAAGUUUAAGCUUUUAGGAAAAUUAGUAAUUCAACAUUCUAUACAUAAAAUUAUUUGAUGUCCAAUCAAUUGAUUCACCUACCUAUCAAUUAAUAUACUUUUAAAUAAAAUAUAUUUCAAUCCAUUACACAAAUAUAAUUAAAACAAAGUACUAUAAUAAUAUGAGUAUGUGACAAAUAAAUAAAAUAAAAAUAAUCACAUGUUACAUGUAAACUAUAUUCAAAGGAAAAACCACAAGUCAUCCCCACUAUUAAACAAUCCAUUGUAUAAUGAUCAAUUACAAAGACCAAGUAUUACCAAACUUAAAAGUAUCUAAAUCAUACUCACUUUGCACAUUUUCUUUAUACUUGGAUCCUUUAAACUCAUUUAUCCCAAUGUGGAAGCAUCUUGAGUUCUAAUCAAGGAAAUCAACCUUUACUUCAUCAAGUUAAAGUCUCUUUAUAUCAUUGACAACCAUAUCAAGAUUUCUUUUGUUGGUUGCUUUCAAAGUCCCACUAGAAUUAGAUUGAAAUUUUUAUAAUCUCUAGAACUUUAACAUAUUAAUUCUUCAAUGAGUCAAUCAAAUAUUAAGUUUUAUCUCCAUAGAUGGACCUCAAUGAAUUUUUCGACAAAGGUGUUAACACUAAUUUCAUAUUAGUAAAAAAAAAUCAUGUGACACAUAUUGAUAUAUAUAUAUAUAUACUAAUUUCAUAUUCAUAGAUUGAAUUCAUGAGAAAAUUAUUCUUAAUUUUGUAAAAAUUAUAUAUAUAAGAAAGUUUUUAGGCUUACUAAAACACAUUACUAACCAAGUGGCAAUAUAUUUAUAAUUUAGGUCUCAUUAUUUUGUAAUCAAGUUUCAUUCAUUUGUAUCAUAUAUGAGUCCUAUUAUGUCAUACCUUACUCUUAUUACAUUGUACUUUGAUCUUAUUUGUUUAAACAUCGAUUUCAUUUCUUUAUAUGUACAUCACAUUUAUUUAUAUCUCAAUCUUAAUUAUUUGUAUCUUUAUUUAACAGUUUAGAUUUCAUUACAUAUUUUUAAAAUUUUAAUUUGAAAUUCGAUAUCUUAGUAUUUUUCUAAAAUAGCUACCUAUAAUCCUUGUAGAGUACUCAAAAUUCACUCCAACCCAUAAAAAAAAAUGACCUCUCUUCGUAAGUUGCUAUACUCAUUGCUAAACUAUAAUUCCAAAAUUAGCAGAACUUUUCAUACUUAUUCUAGGCAAUUAGAGUUGAGAUGUUCCGGGCAUAUACCAUAUUCUUUCAAGAUUUGAAAGAAAUGUUACGAUUUCAGCAUUAAAUAAUGCAUGUCGAUUAACAAUAUUGCUCAGAUUCUUUAGGCAAAGGUCCACAGACAAAAAAAUUAUUUAUUUAUUUUCUGAACCACCCCUGAAAUUGACACCUCCCAUACAGUCUGAUCUGCAUUUCUGUGGCACUAUUUCCCUUAUUCCUAACCAUAAAUCUGCUGCCAUCUCAAUAAUUCACAUCCUUAUCCACUCCUUAUCUAGGGUUGUAACACUUUUUUCAAAAAGAUUUUUUUUUUUUUUUUUCGAAGGGGUGGAUAAGGGUCCUGAGACAAGCUGUGGUAUAAUUAUAAACCCACUUGGGUAAUGGUUUCAUUGUCAGGGUAAUUCUAUUUAAGGUGAAAAUCAGCUGGGUCUAUCAUUCUUGUUUCCAUGUGACUGUUUCCAAGGAGAACUCAACCCUCAAAUCCAUCGAGCAGUCAUAUAAAAAUACACGCAGAUUUCAUAUCUUGAAGCUUGUCCUGUGUUCAGAUCGGAUAACUCACUCAUAUGCCUAAUCACUAAUCGCCAACUUGAGUGUAAAAAAAGCGUGGGGCGAUAUUAUUUGUAUAUGGGUUUGACUGUUUGAGAGAGAAAGGUGGGGUGUCCCUUGGAGGAGUCCAAAGGCCAUUUUUGAACCUGCCUUUGAUUAUCGCCAUGGCAAAUCAACAGCUUGUAGUAUAUAUAUAUUAAUGGAGACCAAGACUCAAAUAGAGAGAGAGACGCGGGGAUGCGAUAAAGAGAACAGUAUAGCCAAGAGUAUAUAAGCAUUUCUCUUGCUGUAAUGGUGAUUCAGAGACUGGAAAUGUGUAUAUCACUGCUGAAAAUGGCAGUAGAGUUUGUGCUUGUUUUCGCGGAGGCAGUCGGGCUAGUCAUCAACCACAAUGCCACGCCGCUUUUGGCAAACUCAGCCUCAGUUGGCAAUGAUGUUUCUGUCCCUUUUAUCGGUUUUCUUCUUUGAAUUCUUCGUCUUGUAGUUUCCUUCCUUACCAGAAUGCUCAUUGGCCAUUGUAUAUGUUGAGGGUUCUUUUUUGCCUUGAUAGAUUUUCUAAAGGAUGUGCAUGUUUGAUAGGAGAGAGUAUAUAUACACAUCUAUGUAAACUUUGAUUAAAUUUUGUUCUGGGUGAGCUUCAUUUUCUGCAAAUUCAUUUGCUGAUAGCUUUGGAAACGAAUCUUCAGUUGUUUGGGUGCUGAUUAUUUGCUUGCUUCACACGAUUUUAUGUGCUGUUCCUUUGGUAAUAAUCUUGUUGGGUGGAUCAAGGAGAAGAGCGAAGAUCUGAGGGAAAAUAGAGUCUGGAGAAAGAAAAGAUGUAAUGAUGAUUAAGAAAGGCUUUAAUAUACUUGCAAGAUCAGGAAAAAAUAUUUCUUGGGUAUCAAUUAUUUUCUUGCUUGAUAUGGGUUUGAUACUCUUUUUCAAUUGGUGAUCAUUCUGGGAAGAUCAAGAAGAAGAAAAUGGGGUCUAGAUGAAGAAAAGCUAUAAUGGCGAUUAUUAAGUGGAAUCAGAUGAAAUAAAAGUCUGUUUCCAUCAUUCUUAAUAUGGUUUCUUUUGUCAAAAAUGGAAGAUGACUUGAUUUUCAUAGUCCCAGCAGGACUUUAGUACUCAUCAAACUCAUAAAUUUUGAACAACUUUGAGCUAACCUUCUGCAUUAAUUUGGUGCAUCUGCGCAGUUGCAGAGUAUGAACACCCACAAAAUCUUAAUAUGAAUCUUUUGGGGCAAUAGCUUCUAUAUAUGAUGGAUGAUAAGAACAAAGCAAAUCUUGGGUUCUCCAUGGGCACGAUCAUUUAUCCGCCAUAUAAAAUGCAGAUUUUCCUAACACCAACCCCUUAUUUUAAUAAAGUCAAGUUAUUUUAAGGCCCCCAAUAUUAGACAUGCCUUAGAAUCAUUGGGUCUGUGAUUAAAAAUGUAGUAAUAUCAUUUAAAAUACCUAACACUGAAAUUUUGAUAAUUUUGAAUGCCAUAGUGUGGAUUUGAAGAAAGAAAUCGCAUCCAAGAUCUCUUCCUUUUCCUGGGAAACAUUAGUCUUGGUCAAUUAUGAACUGUUACACGUUGCCUAUCAUGGUCAUAUUUAUAUUAGCUUUGAUUUCUAUGGGGGAUAUAAUUUAUUUGUAUGCUAAUCAUAGAGGUGAUACAUGUGAUCCACAUGUCAUAUUUGGACUUGGAAGCAAUCAUUGGAUUCCUUUGAUGAACUGGCAAUGGAAGAAUACUAAUUGCUCCGGUCCCUUUCUUUUUUCAAAGUAGGAUGAUCAGGUCCUUUGAUCCCUUCGACUCCCUCUGGCUGUUUUUCUUUGUUCUUUUUUCAAUCAUCCAUAGCUUAAAAUUAAAGCCUUGAUGCCCUCCUCGACUUUCCCAAGAUAAAACACCUUAUCUUCACUUUAUUUCUCUUCCCUUUAAAUUUGAUUUUAGAUCUGAAAUCCAGGGCUUAUGACCCUGUAGAAGAAAGACAGAUAUGAAGCUUGGGAUGAUUUGAACUUCAGUUUGAUUUUCUGCACACUCUGUUAAAACUCCUGAAAUAUAGUUGUAUAUUGCAAUACAUUUAAUUGUUUGAUACAUCUGAACUAUGAUGUUCUAUUAGUAAAAAUUUCUUUGAAUCAAUCCACGGCUCAAAGUACCAAUUUCUAUUGAAACUUUUUUUCUUUUCCUGCUCAUUCAAUUGUUUCAUUUUCCACAUAAUGGUAUGACAACAUCAAGAAUACUUCUCAGCAAUUGCCUGCAGGUGAACCCAAAGCUCUUUUGGCUUAGAGAUCAUGACCAUGUGAUCAGAUCCUUUAAUCUCUUUAACAGCAUCAGGUGGGUUUUUUUCAAUCAUCCAGAGUUGAAAAUCCCUUUUCCCCAGCUUGUCUUCCUCUGAAAUAAUAAAGACACGUUUAACCGAGGCAUAUUUCUUCGACAACAUGAGCUCAUUUGACAUGUCUUCUUCAAUGAACAAGCGUACGGGUCUCAUCAACACAGUCCCUAGUGCCAAGUCCUGGAAUAUUUGUGCCCGAAAUGAUAUGACAACAACAAUGAAGGUCUCAUGAUUUUGGUUGUAAGGCCUUAAUAAAUGGAGUUCUCACCUCAGUUGGGCUCAACUGAUACACAUUCAGUGAUAAGAACAAGGGGCCAAAGCUGAAAGUGGUGGGAGGAUUGUUGGGGCCAUUAUCAUAUGUGAACUGGCUGUCUAGUAGAGGACCUUGUCUCCUGAGUGACUUCAAUAAGAAGUAGAAACCAGGCUAAAAGUCAGAAACAGGGGAAGCCUUCCCCUCUUAAUCAGCAAGUAAAUUUCUGUAAAAGAAAAAUAGUAUGUAUGAAGUACCUCUUGAUUGAGAGUGGAAAUGUUGAGAGUGGGACCAGGCAUUGAGGCAGUAACAAAAACAGCUACAGAAACCUUUUCUGGGAACUUCUCCAUGGCCUGAGAAAUGGCCAAUCCACCCAAGCUGUGUCCAACGAGAACCACCCUCUCAUCUGCAGGGAGUGACUCCACGAAGUCCCUCAGUGGCUGGAAAUACCAAGAAAUUGAUCGCAGAUCACCCACUUGUUUUGGGUUAAUUCCAGAAGCAGCCAAGUCCAGAGCAGUAACUUUGUGGCCAGAUGAUUUUAGUAGUGCCACAAUCUUGUACCAAGACCAGGCACCAUGGCAAGACCCAUGAACUAGAACAAAGUGCUUGACGGGAUUAGCCUGUCUCCCCUCUGAUGCCAUUGGAUACACUGAAGAAACAAGAAAAAUCAGAAAGGAAACAAAAAUCAUAUGCUUCUUCCUUGCUUCCAUACUCCUUUCCUGUUACAGAGAUGGUCAGCACCCCAGCAUUUUAAAGGGCACAAUUGGGUAGGUUUUCACUACAACUACUAAUCUAAUUGAUUAAAAAUUUUCCCGUGAAAUUGACUCUAGAAAUAAAAUAAGGACUAAGGAUUCAAGAACACGUACACUUUGACUGCCAGAGUUUAUGUCUUUUCAUAGAUGACACAUGCACCUGCGUCACACUCUUUUUCAAUGAUAAAGAAGUUAUGCAAAGGAAGAAAGAAUGAAAUAUACAGAGUCAAGUAGUUAACUCCUCCCCUUGAAUUCUUCUCUUGCCCGGAUUGGUUUGUAACUGCAAACAUUUUCUUUUCCCAAUGUGAUCUGUGGAUUGAGUUCUGAUCUCAAUUUGUUUUUGGCAUUUUUGGUUUUGCUUCUGCAAAUCUUGAGAUGUAUCUUUCAAUUAAUAUAAGUUGUGCAGUUAAGGUUUUUGGACAUAUAAAAUGUUAGCCAAACCUUUCCCGUGGCAGGUUGAAGGUACUUUGGGGUAGGCUUGGUCAUGCUUGAUACCUCAGUCUGACUCAAACAUGAUGUUUUCACCCAUUUGAAUUGAUCAAAGUUGUGUUGACUGGCAUGAUUCCUUUAAUAAAGAAGUUGUUUUAGGAUUAAGGCGUACAACACAAAUUUGACUUAAGUAGAUCUAUUUAAUUAUUGUGUAUUAACAUAAUUAUAAUCAAUUGAGUCGAAAAUGAAUUAAAUUAAAAAGUUAAUUUUAUUGAUUUAAAUAAGACCUAAUUCAACCUGAUUAUUAAAUUACUCAACUUAUUAUAUGAUUUGAACACUGCCCACCAACAUUAAUUGUAACCCGUGCUUUGAGUUCAGGUGGCAGCAAGAGUUUGGCCUUUGUUUUGAGUGUUGGAUGAAUGUUGGAUUAACCUUUCCCAUGGCUGUCAAAUUCCUCAUAAAUUAUUGGUGAUUGUAAUAAUUUCCUCAAAAAGUAAUGGUGCUAUAUGCUUCUUUAGGAUCCAUUGAUCUUAAUAAUUCUCUUCCUGGUAUAGGAAGAAAGUGACUAUUCCAUUACUGCAGCUUUCAUUGCUGCUUAUUUAUCAAGCAAAUUACAUUAUUAUUUUCACACCAAAUCUCCAAAUUCACCAUGUACUUAUCCUAUAUACUGCAUGGUGAACUUCAGAGAGCUAAAACAAGCUCUUAUUGAAUACAUGAUAGAUGAUGUCCCACUGACCCUUUUACUCUGAUACCUUGAAAUGAGAAAUUUGGAGGUUUUCCACAUCAAGCUUCUUGAAAUUACUGCGCCUUCUCGCAGCAAAGAACUUUCCCCAGUUGUAUGCUCUGUACUUUGGCUUUUCUCCCUUCGUCAGCUCCUCCAAGGGCUUCACCCAAACAUGGUGCCCGGGACUGAAAAAGACCGGAAUUGAGAACCUUUCCCUCUCUGAAUUCACCGUCACCCUGUGCUCGACACUUUCAUAAGUAUCGUUGCUCCAGACCUGGUUUAAUAUCAGUAUAAUUAGCCAAAAGGGUGCAAAAUUUCUUGAUCCCAACAGUACUGAUAAGCAUGUACUUAUAAUUCAAAGUUCUUGGGUGGUACCUGAAUUAUAUCCCCAACAUUGAUGAUAAAAGCAUCUGGGGUGGGCUUAACUCGAACCCAUUCUCCAUUGGUUUUUCGCUUUACUUCCAACCCUCCAACAUCAUCCUGGGCAAGGAUGGUUAAGGCUCUGGAAUCCUUGUGGCGACCAACGCCCAAAGCUAGGUGAGGGAUGGGGCAAGGUGGGUAGUGAUUGAGGCGGAUGAAGUUUGUUGAUUCUUCAAAGAGAAUAUUGAAUCUGUUUUCUGGCAAACCUAAGCUUAGUGAGAUGAGUCCUAACAGCUUGAAAGCUAGUUUUCCCAUUUCUCUAGCAUAUUCUUCACAUACCUCCCUGUAUUAAUCAGUUCAAUUAGAACAAAAAAAAAAAAGUAAUUCACUGUAGUGACUGUGCCUUAACUGGUGAAACUUGUACCUUAAUUCAGGAGGGUACUGAGGCCACUGAUUGGUCAGCUCUUUGAGCUCCUUGUCGUCAGGAUCAGGCGAAGCAGGGAUGAAGGCGGGGGUAGGCACCACGAAAUCAAAGACUUCCUUCCAGUCCCUAACGUUCUUGGUAUGCUCAGUAUCAAAGUACCCCAAAGGAUUCACCUCAUCUCUACUCACCUUCCUCUUCUCCUCCAGUGGGAGAGCGAAGAACUUCCUCGCGGCAUCCUCAAUUUUACGACGAGACUCCGAGGGCACCCCAUGGUUGAUGACUUGAAAGAAGCCCCAGUUCUUGCAUGCAUCAGCUAUUUGAGAAACAUGGUUGGAAGCAUUGGCGGAAGAGAGAUCAAUGAGGGGGAUGCCUUCAGCUUCGAUAACAGCGAGCUCAGGCCUGUGUUGGGUGUCUUGGAUGAAGGCUGGAUCGACCUCUCCCAUGGCUGUGGUAGUGGUUAGAACUUAGAACUCAGAAAUGGUGGUUAUGCACUGCUAGUGUUAGCUGCAGGUGAAGAUGGUGACGGGGAUUUGGCCACUUGGCAGGUGGUUUAGUACAUUGAACCUGGACAUAAAUUGGGUUACGUUUUAAGUUUUGGUUGGGGGUGUGAGCUCACGGGUUGCGCAUAUGUUAAUGAUAAUUGUUCAAGUGAUUUUACCGACAUAAAACAAAAUCUGCCGCCCCAAAGGAAUCUCUCUCAAUGAUUUUACCGACAGCACUCUCCACAUUCAAAUGUUUCAUCCGUAUUUGAAUUGGAGUCUAAUACUCUCAUUGUUUAAUUAACUCCAGCUUGAUUAAUGAAUCCAGUGGUGUCGUGUAUAUUUUCGAAUUCUCUGCUUUAUAUUUAAACCUUCUUGGUUUUUAUGUUCUCAUCCAAUGGUUUAAAACCCAAAAACGAUGCAAAGAGAAAAAGAGAAAAAAAAAAAUAUACAACACAAUUGGAAUUAAAAUAUAUGUAAUAAAAAAAAUAAAAACUAAUUCAUUUUGAGUUUUAUUUUUCAAAAUAAUAACUCUAAUAUAAUAACUAAAUAAAUAAACAUAUAGUAAUUAAAUACAUAAUAACUAAAUAUAUUAAUGUCUUCUCAUAAUUGAGACUUUACAACAUAUACUCAAUUUUUAAACAAUUCUAAAAAAAUAAGUGAAAAUAAUUAAAAAUACUUAAAAUAUGUUACCAACAAAUACCUUAUUGUCCUAACAAAUCUCAAAAACCUUAUUUAGGACCAAUUGAAAAUCAAAAAAAAAUUCAUAUUUCUUUACUCUUGAAAAAAAAAAAUGGUUCUUGAUGACAGUCUCAAACAUAUCCUCCCAUUUGGUUAUUUUAUUGUAUAAGUUUUUCAAUAAAAUAAAAUAAUUAAUGAUAGUGUUUGUAAGGAAAAAUCAAAAUAUCAUACAAAAUUAAUACACAUCUUUUUAUUAUUCAAUAUUUCUAUAUCAUAUUUACAUUUUUUUUUAUAAAAAAAUUAUAUAUAUACAAUGUUUUAAAAACCGGAUCGGAUCGGCCGAUCCAACCGAUGACCGGUCACAUUUUCGGUCCGAUCCACUCUAUUAAACCGUUUAACUAUUGGAUCGGUUACGAACCGCCUAAACCAACGGUCAAACUGGUGAACCGAACAGUCCAUAUUGGCCCAUCAUUUUGCAAGUCCAUUGUAUAAAAAAUUAAAAGUUGUAGGCCAAAAACCAUACUAGGCCAUGUCUUAACAUGACAAAGCCCGCACCCAAACCAUUUAAGUAGGCUCAGUUUUGAGCCCACAAGGUGGGCAUGCUGUUGCUUUCAAUGAGGAUACUUUUUAUAGGCAUCCUUUGCACCCUUAUUUCUCUCACAAUCCGAUGUGGGAUUGCAAACUAAUAUGAUAAUAUCAAUGAAAAAAAUUUAACAAAUGCAACAAGAGGGAGGAUUUGAAGUGGGACCUCAGGUUUUGUAAAUAAACUAGGACACCACUCGGCUACUUAUUUGAUAUGCCAAACAAAACAAUAUAUGUUGGAUUUUAAUUUUUUUUUAAUAUUAAAUAAAAAUAAUAUAAUAUUUUUAAAAAUUAUAAAAUUAGUUAAAUUUUUCAUUUUGAAUAUAUUCACAUUUAAAUAUUGUACACAUUUCAUUUAAUAUGAUUUAAUUUGAUAAUAUCAAAUAUAUAAAAUAAUAUUAUUGAUUUUUAAUUUAUUCAUAUAUAUUUUAAAAUUUUUAUAAUUAUUUUUAAUUUUAAUAAUAUAUAAAUUACAUAUUUAUGACGUCAUCGGUUCGACCGCGGUUCGACCAUCGAUUCGACCGCGGUUUGAUCGGUAAACCGUGAACCGGUAACUUUUUCGAUUCAAUGACCCAUCCGGUUCUGAAAACAUUGUAUAUAUACAUAAUUUUAUCAUUUUUUUAAGUUAUAUUUAAAAUUUUCAUAUAUUUAAUCAAUUUACUAAUAUCAAUAUUUCCUUACAUAUUUUAAUAGUCGUAACCAUACAAAAGAUUGUCAAAUUAAAGGAAACAACACAUGAAAUGAGGAUGUGGAAAAAAAAAACACGAUAACAACGAAAUCAUGAUUUGUUUUUUAUUAUUCAAUAUUAUUAUAUCAUAUUUACAUUUUUUUUAUAAAAAAAUUAUAUAUAUACAUAAUUUUAUCAUUUUUUUUAAGUUAUAUCUAAAGUUUUCAUAUAUUUAAUCAAUUUACCGAUAUCAAUAUUUCCUUACAUAUUUUAAUAGUCGUAACCAUACAAAAGAUUGUCAAAUUAAAGGAAACAACACAUGAAAUGAGGAUGUGGAAAAAAAAAACACAAUAACGACGAAAUCAUGAUUUGUUUAAGGCGAAGGAAAUAAUAGUGAGAUAGACAAAGCUUAUAAUAACAAAGUACUGACAUUAUUAAUAUGUGGAAUUUGGUUUUCAGUUUUUUUUUAGAUUUUUAUAUAUUAUAUCUAUAAAUCUUAAUUCAAAUCUAAGUAAUACUUAAUAGAACUAUGAUGUUUGUUUUUUUUUUUUUUUUGUUUCUUUUAUCUAAAUCUUAAAGCAAUUUGCUUAAAAAUUGAAAUCAUUUUUAAAAUUAUUUGUUUAUUUCAUUUUAAUAGGAAAAAUAAAUAAUUUUACUUUUAACUAUGUAUACCUUAGUGAUGGGAUCAAAUUCCCAACGCAAUCAGUUUGAAUAACAACAUAUGAUUGAAGACGAUCAUCGCUAAAAGCUCUAUAUUCCCCAACCCAAUCAGUUUGAGCUCAAAACCAAGCUGCAAUUCAACCUAGUUUUGCAAUGGAUUGCAUCAGAUUUGUUUCCAAGAAGAUAAAAAUAAAACGAAACUUGGAAUAAGCAUCAAUGAAGUGAAUGUGAAACUGAUAGCCAAUAGAGGAUUGUGUAUUUGACACUCCCCAAAAAUCUGACUGCAUUAAUUUGGAGCAGUUCCGUAUAUUGAGUUGCAGAUAAUGGAAAUGGGAAUUCAUGGAUUUUGCCCAGACAACAUGUUGAAUUGAAACUACUCAAUUCAACAGAAAAGAAGCUACCAUGAUGGAGGUUGAGGAGUACUCCAUUGUUGGCAGUGGAGGCUCUCAUACCGUCUGAAGAAGCUAAACCAAAAGAAAUUCCAGCAGAAAAGAAAUGCUUUUUCCCUCAUCUAAAUAAUUGAUUACAAAAUUCUAUACAUAGCUAAUUGUAGAACAAACUUUAAUUAUCUGGAACUGUGAUAACAAACUACUAAUUGGGUCAACCAACUCUCUUGGCAUGAUUUAUUUAGAGUCCAACACCAUGAUUUUUCAGGGACUAAAAGUGGAAAAUGGUCUUACAACAUCAUUGUUCGGAAACUCUGAAAUGAUGAAUCUGAAUGUUUUCGACAGUUUGCUUCUUGAAAUCACUCCUGUUUCUAGUUGCCAUGAACUUUCCCCAGUUGUACUCUUUAAAUUUAGGGGGGUUUUCCUCAUUGGUCAACUCCUCCAAUGGCUUCACAUUCACAUGAUGCACCGGUAAGAAAAAGAAUGGAAUCGAAAACCUUUCCUUCUCACUAUUCGCCACCACCAUGUGCUCCACGCUCUCAUAUUUAUCAUUGCUCCAAACCUGUAUAGUGUUGGAUAAAUAUUGAGAAAAAGUAACACCAAUUUCUCCAACAUGUUUUUCUUUUUUUUUAAAUAAUAAUAAUAAGAUACAAUAUAUAAGACCUAGCUAUUAUAAUACCUAUAAAAAAAACUCAAACCAAUCACAACAUGUCAUGUAUAUAAUUAAGUUUAUUUACUUCGUAUAUGAUUUCAUUUUUCUAGAUCUAGUCUCGAUACUUUUAUCCCUAUCCAAUGCUCUAGAUUUUAUCCUAUACUUUUGAGGAGGUUUUGAAUUGAUAACCUACAAUUUUCCAAUGUGUACAAAUGAAAUUGAAGUCAUUUGAUGGAUCAUACCUGAAUAAUAUCACCAACAUCAAUGAUAUAAGCAUUUGGAAUAGGCUUUACUCCAAUCCAUUCACCAUCAACUUUUCCCUUCACUUCCAACCCUGUGACACCAUCUUGAAAGAGAACGGUUAAAGCUUUGGCGUCCUUGUACCGACCCACAACGAGAGAGCUUCGGCCACGAGAACGGCGGAGAGUGAUAAUUGAGUCGGAUUAAGCUGGUUUGCCAUUGGAAUAACUCAUUCAACUAGUCCCCGGCCAAGCCUAAGCUUAAGAAGAUGAGUUCUAAGAACUUGUUGGCUAAUUUUUCUAUUUCUCCAACAUAUUCUUUCCAAAUUUUCAUGAAAAUAAGUCAUUAUAUAAAAUAUAUCAAUACUCAAAAUGAAUUUAAUAAAAUCUUGCCAUGCCUUUACGUCUCUAUUUGAGUUUGUUUGCCUUUGAGUUGUGCCUUUACGUCUCUACUUGAGUUUGAUCGACUUUGAGUCGCAUUUUUAUGCCUCUAGUUGAGUCUAUUUAGCUUCAAGUCGUGCCUUAACAGUUCGAGUUUAGUCUAUUCGGCUUCAAACCGCACUUUUACAUCUCUUUCAUCUUUGAGCCACGUAUUUAUGUCUCUAGUUGAUUUUGUUUGACUUUAAGCUGCACCUCAUGCCUUUAGUUGAGUCUGUUCAGCUUCUAGUCGUGCAUCUAUAUUUCAAGUUGAGUUUAUUUGGCUUCAAGUUGUGUCUUUACGUUUCAAGUUGAAUCUAUUUGGCUUCAAGUUGAAUCUAUUUGGUUUCAAGUCGCACCUUUACAUCUCUAGUUGAGUCAGUUCAACUUUGACCCACGUCUUUACAUUUCUUGUUGAGUUUGUUCAACUUCAAGUCAUGCUUUUAUGUCUCUAGUUGAGUUUGUUUAGUUUCAAGCCACAGCUCUACAUCUCUAGCUGAGUCUAUUCUGCUUCAAAACAUGCCUUACAUUUCAAGUUGAGUCUAUUCGGCUUCAAGUUGCGCUUUUGCAUCUCUAAUUGAGUCUAUUCGACAUUGAGCUACGCCUUUACUUUUCAAGUUAAGUCUAUUUAGCUUCGAGCAACGCCUUUAUAUUUGGAGUUGAGUCUGUUAGGUUUCAAGCUACGCUUUUACAUCUCUAGUUGAGUCUAUUCGACUUUGAGUCAUGCCUUUAUGUUUUGAGUUGAGUUUAUUCAACUUUGAGUUACAUUUUUGCGUCUCUAGUUUAGCAUGUUCAACUUGAAGCAAUGUCUUAACGUUUCAAGUUGAGUUUGUUCGGCUUUGAGUUGCGCCUUUACGUCUCUAGUUGAGUUCGGCUUCGAGUUGUGCCUUUUUGUUUCGAGUUGAGUUUGUCUUAACUUUGAGUCACACCUUUACGUCUCUAAUUGAGUUUGAUUGGCUUCAAGCUGCGUCUUUAUGUUUCAAGUUGAGUUUGUUCGGCUUCAAGUCGUAGCUUCAAGUCAUGCCUUUAUGUCUCUAUUUGAGUAUGUCUGGCUUCAAGCCACGUCUUUAUGUUUUGAGUUGAGUUUGUUAGGCUUUGAGUUGCACCUUUACGUUUCGGGUUGAGUUUGUUCAGCUUUGAGUCACAUUUUUAUAUAUCUAGUUGAGUUUAUUCGACUUCGAGCCACACCUUUGAGUUUCAAGUUGAGUCUAUUCGGCUUCAAACCACACUUUUACGUAUCUUGUUAAGUCCUAUUCAGCUUCGUGCUAUGCCUUUACAUUUCUUGUUGAGUUUGUUCAGCUUUGAGUAUCGUCUUUAUCCUUAUUAAGUUCAUUCGGCUUUAGUCGUGCCUUCACCCUUAUCCUUAGUUUUGAGCCUAUUUGACUUCAAGCCAUGCGUUUGUCCUUGUUAAGUUUAUUCGGCUUCAAGUCGCCUCCUAGUUUUAAGUUUGUUUGGCCUCAAGCCGCACAUUCCCCUCUAUUUGAGUUCAUUUAGAAUUUUCCCCUUCCUCGAGUUUAUUAUGACAUUCUCUUCCUUCAAUAUCAUUUUUUGUGAGUUAAUCACUUCUUAUCUUGGUUGUCCUUGAGUUGUAUGUUGUGUCACGAUCUAGUGUUGUUCAUUGCAUAUACACUCCCCACAUUAUUUGUAUCUUUAUCUUAAGUUUCUUCCUUAGUAUGUGAUCCUGAUCUUUGAGCUUAGCAUGCCAUGUGUUAUGAAAAAAUUAUGAGUUCUCUUUUGUUCUUCAAUGCAAUUCACUUCAUACCAUUCAUCACUCAUGUUUCACUCUUCGUGUUCAGUUCACUCAUGAACUAUAUCAAAUAAGGGCAUAUUUAUAGACCCUCCAUUUUGUCUCAUAGCACGUAUGUUUGCAUUUUUUAUUUUCCUCUCGCCCCAUGCCCAUUUUAAUUUGGUGUCCGUUUGGAUACUUCUUGCUUAAUCAUUCAUCAUCCCUUAUUAGUUCACAUUUACUUGGCUCAUUAAUCAUUUUUUAGCCACAUUUUGGAGGCCAUUUAGGGCGAUUUUGGGUCUAAGCUUUUUUUUUUUAGAGGCUCUCAGUAGAUGGCUCAUAAUGAGGACACGUGUUUUUAAAGGGGUCUUCUAGAGGCUUCUAGGGUCAGUUGGGAGAGCACGUUCUUAUUUAUAUAUCUAUUGUUUUGGAGGUGAGUUGUACACCAAGAGAAUGAGGGAGUAGAUGGAGGUUUUUUAAACAUUGUAAGAGGAGAUUCGUUUUGAUUGGCAUUUAUACCAAUAAAAUCUUGGGAUUACUGAGAACUCAACGGGACCUUCCCUCUCAAAUCAUACAAACUUGGCCAAAGAGGGGUGGGUACCAUUGAGUUCUUAGGCUUUCAUGUCGAUAACUCAAUUCAUCUUAUUACUAAAGGGAUGAACCCAAUCCGGAAUAUGAACCAAAAAAGAAAAUGUCUAUUAAAUUGAUGACAGGAAUACCAGUUACAGUAGCUAUUAGCCAAAAGGAAUCCUUCCAAGUUGGAGGUGGUUAGAGAGAGAGAAGGCUGGGCGAGAGAGAGAGACACGUAAAGAGAAUAUUCUCUCUGGUGAGGGUUUGUUAGACGGGAAGCAAGAAGCUUGAGGGUAGAGAGGACAAUCAGAGGAGGAGUUUGGAGGAAGAGGGGAAGGGAGCUCGAAGGCAAGCAGAUCAGUGCUUGAGGGGACGUUUUUCCAAGUAUGAUUAUUGGGUCUCUCAUUUUCCGCUGUUCUCCUUUCCUUCCCGGUUGAUCUCUGGAUUUUAGUUGAUGCUUUGAUAUGGAUUCCAGAUGCCACACUUCAUCUUGUUGAGCAUUGGUUAGCUAUGGACUUGUUACUGCUACUCUUCUGUUUCUUUUGAGUUAACUUUGGAAAUGAAUCUGAAUAUAGACUGGUAUUUGCUGCUUGAUGUUUCGGGAAUCAUAUUUUAGUUGUUUAAAAUUCAUUCUGGCAUGUUCGGUUCCUUCAAGCUCAUUGAUGAAAUAAUGAAAUGGAGCUCUAUAUAUUUGUUAAUGGGUUGGUUCUCUGUUUGGUUAUCUUUUAAGUUCUUCCUCUUCUCUUUUCUCGUUGCCUUCUCUUCUCUAGGGGGGUGUCGUUUGAGCAUAUGCAUACUAGGAGAAAUGGGGAGCUGGAGGCUUAUCCUGGCAUCAACCUCGCGUUGGGGACGGCUUGAUCGAAGAACAUAUGAAUUUUUCAGAUACCUAGAACUUACAUCAAAAGAAGCCUCGGAGUCUAGGUCAAACACAAACACAUCCUUUGCCUUGGUGAUUUUAUUGACUUCUGCAUGAUGGGCACCCGAGGGUGGGGACUGGAAGAGAAAUGAUGAAUCUGCCUAAUAUAGUUUGUCUAGAAAGGAGCUUGUAUUAAAUGAUGGUUACCCACUGUGUCAGAUGCUGAAAUCUGGGUAUGAGGACUCCCGGUGGCAUCGGAAAGAUGAGUCGCACCAUUCUUCCCACAGUAGAAAGCUUGACCUCCGAAUUUGGGCUUUUUCAUGGCCAGACGAGAGGAGUGAUCGCAAUAGUGCGAGCAGAGCCAGUCAAAUUAAGCCUGUUAUCAGAGGAGUGAACCUACUGCCUUGUUCUAUCUCCGAUGGUCUGCUCAGCUCCUUCAACCUCCACCGCUCUCCUCUUUCCAAGUUCUCCAUUUUCAGUCUAGAGCCAACAAGAGUCGCAGAAAUCCUCAAAGAUUGACCUACAUGGUAUCGUGAGUACCUCGAUGUGGAUGUUCUUAAUGAGUUGUCAACUGGAGCCAAAUGGGUGUUUGAUAAGACCCAGUGAAGAUGUAAAAAUUAUAUAAUGAAGCUUGCAGAAAGACUCAAGGGUUGAUGGAAGGCAUCUCAACGAAGUUUGGCUUUUGUAUUGUGAAUCUGGCAAAUUACCUAUACUGCAUGGAUCAUCACUCUUUUCACGUGGAGGUACACAUGUCCUUUGUACUGUACACUUGGGGCAUCACAACCUGGUGAUGAUCAACGACUGGAUCCUCUGGUUGGUCCUCCAACAAAGCGCUUCAUGCUUCACUGAAAUUUCCCGGAGUUCUCGAUUAACGAAGUUGGCCAGCUUCUUAACCUGCACUGUUCCACAGAAGUCGCAUAAAGAUUUGACAUUGAAAUUGAUGUGGUUUUUCCUUUGCCAAUGGUGGUGGGCGCGCUUUGUAUGUAGAUUCCGAAGGAACUUCCAACUUGAUGGCUGUGAGUGGUAAUUAGGUUGGAGAAGAAACUACUGGGUCUGCCCCAUUAGUUUUCCAUUGUUAAGGUAGUUUGGUGCACAGCUUUCUGGAUCAUCUACACCACCAGCACCUCCAGCCGCCUGUUUUGAUCAGUUUCUGGAUUUCCAUCUCCAAAUUGUGCAAGCAGCGACUGAUUUGGUGUCCAUACAAGCGGCUACUGAAAUGGUUCAAACCUCAAAUGCUGAAGGGAAAGGAGCUUUUGGAAAAUAUCAUGAAGAAGACUCACCCAUCUUACAUGAAAUUAUACACAACUCCAUGGACCAGAACCGGAACUCAGACUUAAAUUUGUCCAAGAGAAGAUCAGUGUUAUACAAGUCAAUUGCAGUCAUUCCUGAAAGAAGUGAUCAGAAGAGUAAACCUGGAAAAGCAGCGAGUGAAACAAGGUCUGUGACAUUGAACAAUUUGCAGAUGGGUGUUCCCACAAGCUCCUUUCCCCUCUUCCCACGUGCAUGAAAUUCCUACAUGCAUGGCCACCUUCUUAGGUGUGCAAUUCGGUGCAUAUGCUCAAGCGUACUACCCCCCUCUUCUUUUAAAAAAAAAAUGAUUUUAAAUUUAAAUUUUUGACAAAUUCAUUUCCCUUUUAAAAUCCCUCCUCAGUAAUUCUCUUCAAAUUAAUAAAAUCUAUUUUCAAUAAAUUUCUGCUGUCAUCUUCCUUUUGGCGUGGACCAUUUUUCUAUUUUCUUUGAUUUUUAAUAAUUUUCUGAUUUUUUUUAAUAAAUAUGAAUAAAUUCUAUGUUUUUUAAAAUAAUGGAAUUUUCUCCAAAUUUCUAUUAUCUUUUUCUCCGAGAUCAUUAGGAAGAUGAAAUUCCUAAAAUUAAUUCAUGCAAAUAAAUUGGACGUUGGUGGGUCCAACAUAUGAAUUUUUCUCUUUUGAUUAUUAAUUUUAAUUGCUACGCUUGAUUGAUUAAUGAUUGAUCUCUACCUUGCUCUAACAUACAUAAGAUUUAUUGUGUUUGUGAUUGUACACUAACCAUGUUUCCCACGAAACGCUCAACUUAUUGCUAUUGUACGUUCCUUCCUUCUCCUAUUUGUUUAAGUAUAGCUCAACCAUAAUACAUCACUGAUAAUUACUUGGUAUCUAUUGAUUUUUUGAUCAAUUGUCAUAUACCUUAACGUAAUUAUCAGAGACCUGAUUUUAGGGUAUAGAGGGGUUUUACAACUUAUUAUCGUACCUUUUCAAUAAGUAACCUGACCCUCGAACCCAAACUCGGUUUUUUAUAAACCUGUACUUUCCUUUCAAGUUUCAUAUUUAGAGUUUUAUUUUUUAUUUUGUUUUCUAUUUAAAAAUAAAAUAAAAAUAAGUGUCAAAUUUAAAACCAUAUUUUCUAAAAAUCAAUUGUUCAUCAAUUUAAACUGAGUCUUGUCUUCUUUUUUUUUUUUCAAGUGAGGACAUGAUCUCAGGUCCACAAUACUAUUUUAAUAUAUAUCAUGAAAUAUAGAUAUUAACGUCAUCUUAAAGAUAUAAUUAAAUUUUUUGUUUAAAAUAAAUUAUAAUAAUUUAAAAAUAAUAUUUUAUUUAAAAUAAAUUUUAGAAUAAGCAAAGUUAAUAAGUGGACAUAGAGAAUUAUGAACCAUUGUAAAUGUAUUGAUUAUAUCUCUUUCUUCCCAUUUCAUUUUUACUCUAGUUUUUAUUAUUCGCAUCUUUUUCUACUAAAAUUUGAAAAAGAAAUUCACAUUCAAUUCAUUCGCUUCUUCUUGGGUGUAUGUCAUAGGAUUCAAAUUGUUUUUAAAAAAUAUUAAAUUUGUUAAUUGUGGCUAUAUGCUUAUUUAGGAUCCAUUCAUCUUAAUAACUCUCUUCCCGAUAUAGGAAGAAAAUGGCUAUUCCAUUAAUCCAGCAUGCAUUGCUGAUUAUUUAUCAAGCAAAUUACAUUAUUAUUUUCACACCAAACCUCCAAAUUCUCCAUGCAUAUACGCAUCCUAUACUGCAUGGCCAACUUCAGAGAGCUAAAACAAGCUCUUAUUGAAUUCAUGAUAGAUGAUGUCCCACUGACCCUUUUACUCUGAUACCUUGAAAUGAGAAAUUUGGAGGUUUUCCACAUCAAGCUUUUUGAAACUACUGCGCCUUCUCGUAACAAAGAACUUUCCCUAGUUGUAUGCUCUAUACUUUGGCUUUUCCCCCUUCGUCAGCUCCUCCAAGGGCUUCACCCAAACAUGGUGCCCGGGACUGAAAAAGAACGGAAUUGAGAACCUUUCCCCCUCUGAAUUCACCAUCACCCUGUGCUCCACACUUUCAAAAGUAUCGUUGCUCCAGACCUGGUUUAAUAUCAGUAUAAUUAGCCAAAUGGGUGUAAAAUUCCUUGAGCCAAACAGUACUGAUAAGCAUGUACUUAUAAUUUAAAGUUCUUGUGUGGGACCUGAACUAUAUCCCCAACGUUGAUGAUAUAAGUAUCUGGGGUGGGCUUCACUCGAACCCAUUCUCCAUUGGUUUUUAGCUUUACUUGCAGCCCUCCAACAUCAUCCUGGGCAAGGAUGGUUAAGGCUACGCCAUCCUUGUGGCGUCCAGCGCCCAGAGCUAGGUGAGGGAUGGGGCAAGGUGGGUAGUGAUUGAAGCGGAUGAAGUUUGUUGAUUCUUCAAAGAGAAGAUUGAAUCUGUUCUCUGGAAAACCUAAGCUCAGAGAGAUGAGUCCCAACAGCUUGAAAGCUAG
rnacentral:lncRNA from 1 species